UCUCUCUUUUGUGGUAUUUCUGGAUACUUACCAAGGCAGUAAUGGUGUAUGCCUUCUCUCAAAGUAUGUGGUAUUUUUGGUAUGAGGCAUAGUGACAUUGCCUUCUCUCUCACCCUACUCUAAUAAGGUUUUGAUAUCUAGAGCUCAUAGGUGGGAGACAGCUAAUACAUACUUACAAGACAUUUAUUGCAUAGUCAAACCAUGGAUCUAGAAGAACAAGUCAAUAAGUCAAAUCUAGAUGUGCAUGUGUGGCGAAUGAAUGGUGAUAAUGGUGAAAACAAUGGUGAAAUUCUAAUUCUACUUUUGCUCUUUUGAGGGAAUACAUACCUUUCUUGCACUUUGAAGCUUUUUGAGGUAUAUUUUAUUUUUCGUUUCUCUCAGGUGGGUAUCUUGUACCCCUAAUUCUACUGUCAGACACUUGUCCAUUUUUACCUCUCGUCUCACUUUUUGUUUUCUUCGAGGUUUCGGGCACUUGCCCUUUUUAUUUCCUCGUAUUCAUAUUUUUUCAGAGCACUCAUCCUCCUAGAAUAAUAUAGCAAGUGGUAGUAACCAAGAUAACUCGAGCAUUUAUUUCACAGGGAAUAACAGGGAUAGGAAAAAGUUUUUGGCUAUUCUCUCCUGGGUAUAGGAGUAGAAUAAUUAAGUGGAUGCGUACUUCCGGAGUAGAAGUAGCAUGUAUGAGUGACCAUGCAAGUGAAUCUUGAUUUUAACCGCAUGAUAAGCUCCUAAGGGUCUAUACAGCUUGACCACACUCAAUGCUCAUAAGCAGUAAAAAGUAAAUGUAUGGUUCAUAGUCUAAUAAGCAUGUAUAUAUGGCUGUGGUAGGAUUUUAAACUCUCAUCAUACAGGAAUUCAUCAUGCAACAUUUUAAAAAUUUUCAAAGAUAAAAUUAUCUAGAAUUCUAGCAUCUCUAGGAGCAGAUAAACAAUAGCUCAACCUUCCCAUAUCGUAUCCGUUAACGAUUUAGACUUUUGAUCAGGUACUCUUCCUACAAGUUCAGGUUUAGAGCAAAUCUUAAUUCAUAACAGUCAUGCCUAAACUUGAGAGAGAUUUCAAUUUUGAGAACUAGUCAUGGUAGAGCAACUAUUUAUCAUUUCCAUGUGAGAGCUUAUCAUAAGGGUUCAUAGCAAACUUAAUUAAUUUAUUUAUUUAGCAAACUAAGCAAAGAUAUAUAUAUAUAUAUAUAUAUAUAUAUAUAUAUAUAUAUAUAUAUAUAUAUAUAUAUAUAUAUAUAUAUAUAUAUAUAUAUAAGCACAAAAUCUUUUUUUGGGUUUUUAUGAUUAUGCAUCUUUUUAUUAUUUGAGUAAAGUAUAAACGCGAGUAGAAACACUUAGCUGGAAAAAUGGGGGGUUUUCUCCCCCAAGCUGGAUUUUGACGUAAUUUUUUUUGAUGUAGAUAGCAGGUGGCGGAGGUGUAUUUGAAUAUUGGCAGCACCCUGACUGUAACAAAAUCGUCCAAUUUAUAAGAAUUCAAGUAAAUUAGCGACCACGAGAGCAGUCAAGCCAAUGGACUUGAACCCAUAUAAACCCGGUAGUCCGACGAAACCUCAGAAGAUCUCAAUUCAACCAACAUACAACCAAGAUCGUACAUGAUCAAGCAUCGCCAUCACAGAUUACAUAUAUUCAUCACAGAACAUAGUUUUACAACACAUCAGAGUUCAAAUAAAGUUAUUACAAACCAGUUCAGUAGCGGAAGCAAAGUAGUUUUAAAAACCACACACACUCAGUUUUAUUACAUGCCAGAUCCAUAGUCAACCCAACAAAAGCACAACUAAAGGUAAUAGAAGUGAUCAUGCCCAUGAUCUAGUCAUCGUACGCAGGCAGAUGAUGACAGUUAGCACAGUAGCCGUGAUAAACGACAUCAUCUGCAACAAAGGUAAAUAAAACCCUGAGUACGAGAAUAUACUCAGCUAGACUUACCCGUCAUAAACCAGAAAUAAACUGACACCAAGGAGUAUGCAAGGCUAAUAUUUGUGGACUGGUUUGACUCACAUUUUCGCAUAAAAAGCUUUAGUUGUAGGUAACACAUUUAUUGCAUUUUGGCAGCAAGUUCAUUACUUAACAACUAUCCACUAGAUUUGCACCUGUUCUAAGCAUACACUUGAGCAUUAAGCAUCACAAUAAUAACCAUAUCCGGAUUAUCACAUAGCCAUCAUCAUUCUCAUCAUAACCAUCAAGUUUAUUUAAUGAGUUCUACGUUGGCGCUGCUCGAGUCAAGUUCUCACUAUCCGGGAGAGACGGCAAUUCGAAUCGAUUCCUAUCCAGCUGGAGGGGUAUUCCCAGCACUAACCCAAGCACACCUCAUGAGGGCAGCUCGGAUCACCUUUAGCACAACUCCGGACCAAGUCGUGGGUCCUUACGGCGCCGCACCCCCCAGGGACCGCCAAUCUGCCAGGGUCAGGACUCUAACCUGACACCUCGGUCUUACGCCAUUGACUCCCCACACAUCCUUGCUACCAACCGGGGUGCGCACUUUAACUAGAUCGGGGUAUCUGGCCGGAGAUGCACCCAUAGGCUUCGCGGUCGGAACGACUUAUCCGGCCAACUAAGUGUUAGGCAUGCGUUCAACAUGACACGAGGACGUACAGCGAUUCGGUCCUUAACCGACACAGACGGGGAUAGAUUCACACCCAAGACCUCCAUGCCUUGUUGCUGCACUAUCGUCAUCCCGCCCGGUCUCAAAAUUCAUUAUUAGCACAUGGUUAUCUCCGCGAUAGCAAAUAUAGCCAACCGUGAUUCAGUAUCCACCUAACUCUCGCAGGUGACAGGAAAUCACCCGACUUCGACCGAGCUAAGCAUGGCUAAGCAUAAUUUCGAUCCUGGACCUACUUAGGUAAGGUAUAAGGUGGACAAGGUAGUUAAUAUGCAGCACGGGGUGUCAUAUCAACUCCUACACAUAAUGCAUAAGGUCCAGCUCAGACUCGACACAACCCGCAGCGCCCUCCUUUUCUUUUCUCUUUUGANNNNNNNNNNNNNNNNNNNNNNNNNNNNNNNNNNNNNNNNNNNNNNNNNNNNNNNNNNNNNNNNNNNNNNNNNNNNNNNNNNNNNNNNNNNNNNNNNNNNGGCUUGCCUUCACGUAGGUGGACGGGCGGUGAUCGGGACACUCCGGUAGAUCCUCCUCCUCCUCAGCUCCUUCUCCUUGAGGUGGCUCCCUCUGCUGUUCCUCCGGCUCGGGUGGUGCGAACUCCAAGACCGUCACUCCUUUGGGUACACCUAUGCAUGCAUGACAAGGUGAUAAACAUAGGGGAUGCACAUAAGAUGCAAUAUGUCAUGAUGCUGAGCCAAGGCACACAUAGCAAGGUAUAAACAUGAGCACAAGCUCCUAAAACCAAGUGAGUCAUAGAUUAACAAGUAAGUGCAUACUUCUUCUGUGGUAGAGAGGCUAACUGGAUGUUGAUGCAAAACUGAUCUGCAAACACAAAGGGCUAAUACCCGAUUCAAACGUUAAGGCGUGCCAGCCGAUUUGACCUUGCUAUCGGCAAAGGUGAUAACUCGAAUACUUUAGUCCUGACAACAGCGAUGCGCCCGGAUGUCACGGCUAAGAGGUACUCACGCGGAACUCGAGAACACGCCGAGCUUAAGUCGACGAAUUCCUAAGAACUCGUAAUAAAUAAAAAAAAAAUAUGACGAAGUCGUCGAAAAGUAGAUGCUGGAAUAUGAGCAAAACGUAUGUUUGAUUGAUUUCUUGAUAGAUGUCCUGAUUACAAGGUCUUAGGGCUUAUAUUUAUACCCUGCUCAAAGAGCUACGACCAGACACGAUUAGAAUUCGAAUUCCAAAUUACACGGAACCCGUAUACAAAACGAUACGAAUAACAUAAGGAAAUAAUAAAACCAUCCUUCGUGACAAACCGAAACUCCUCCACAUGACAACUGGCAGCUUCCGGACUCCUCCUUCGCGUCAUCGGCAAUCCCCUUGCCAUAGUCAUCGGCAGACCCUUUUACUUGGUCAUCGGCACCAUAUUACUGUCUGAGGACUUAGUCACAUUCAACCUUUCCCUCAUCGGCAACCAUCCUUACCAGCAACCCGCAUCGUACUGCCACCCUGUCCUGCCAUCCUGGACACGUGCCCAAAAAUGGUGUCAACACUGGACAAGCUAAUCAACCUUAGCUACUCACACUUUGUUACUGGUGUCAUGGACAGAUUAACUAGCCACAAGUUUCAGCUAUAACCUAGGCAUCAGUUGCCCAAACUAAGCAAGUAGAUACUUUCUGGAAAGCUUAACAAAUUGUCUACAAUUCUCUUUUAGACAUCGCAGAAUGAUUCCCAACAAAAAUAGGUUGAAAUAGGCAAAGUUUGCUUGCUGUCCUGAAAAAUCCAGAGAGCAAGCACUUCGCAGCAGCUUCUUGUAACAAUCACAACUAGUAAACUACUCAGCCAAAUGUCAUGAAAUUUGGGCAAAAGGUAGAUAUGUAAGUUAGCUACAAGUUUGUUAAAGACAAGUUUGACAGAAAACUUCAUCUUCAAUCUGUUCUUAAACAAUUGCUAUCAGCUACCCAGGAUAUGCUCUAGGAGAGACAUAAUUAGCAAAAUAAUAUUUUAACACAUAUUAAGAAUGUAACAUUGGCUCAAAUCAAAUGCACCAGUAGAUGGAACAUGUCUAAGAAACACCAUAAAACAUCAUGGCAAGGUUUAAACUCAUUUCUAGCAUCACUUUUUCCAUUUAUUUAAUUAUUAAGAUGAUUUAAUGAGCAUAUAUCACAAGUGCUCUAACAAUUCUAAUAAAAUUUCAGCAUGCUAUCGAUGCUACCACAAGAUUACUGUAAAAUUUUGAGAGCUCUUGCACAUGUGGAUUGUGAGAUACAAAAAUAACAAGCUAACAAUGGCAUCAAAGGUAUAAAUGUGAAACCCUAUCAAAAAGUGUCAAACAACAGAUUUCAGAUUUUUCUUAGCUUGGUUUACACAUGAUUGCAUCACUCAGUGAGUUUCAUCAUAAAAGGAGUAACAAUAUUCGAGCCUAUUCAUGUCAUAAGUAACAAUAUUUUAAAUUUGCAUGGCCAGAAGACUAACAGAUCUCAAGAUAUAAUUACCUCCUAUUUAAACCAGAUUAAAUCAUAUCUAUUUAUUUCUGCAAAAACAUGGCAUGUUUUGUAUUUUUAAUAAAAACUAGACUAACACAAGAACCUAGCAAAAUUGGAAUCACUCCAUUUGGAUCUGUAUAACUCAAGUUAUGAAUUUUUCAAAAACAAUACAGGAUCUGCUAAACAGUGGACUAGAGGGGAGAGAGAGAGGGGCUGACACGGAGACCCAAUGGUCAGCGGGACCCGCUCGACAGUGACACAGAGACAGCGGAGAGCUCGUCGCCGGCGAAACUCGACGACGGUGAGGUCUCGGUCGAAUCCAAGGGCACCAUCGUGACCCUCUCACAAAGGCGGACCUGCCGAGGUGCGAAACCCUAACUCUACUGAGCUCUAGGGGGCUCGCCGGCGUGAAUGGCGGCUCAGCGGUGCUGCGGGCGGUACGCCGGCGUGCUGAGCUGAUGCCGUCCCAGUUGAGGUUUACGCCGAGCAUCAGUGAGUCAAGGGGAAGCGCUAGGAACAAAAAUGGAGAGAAAUGGUGGAGCAGGGAGGCCUGGCCACGUCACCGGUGACCUCUGCGAACUCCGGCGAGGUGGAGCUCACGACGGAGUUGACAAUGCGGCCUCACCAGUUCUCGGCUAAGGGAAAGAGAUGGACAUCGAGGUAGAGGACAUCGAGGUGGAGCUCUAGGCGGGCUGGCUUGGCCAGAGACGCGGUGGAGCGGCCGGAAGAGCUCGCCGGAACGCGGCGGAGCUCACCGAGGCGAUGGCGAAGCGAAAUGUGGAGCGCCGGAGGAGGGAAUGGCGUGUCUGAGGCGUCCAUCCGGUGCGUGGCGACUUGUGGACGACGUUGGAGCUAACAAGAGGGGCCGUCGACGGCGUACGGCCGACAGGUGGCCGGACACGCGGCGGCGGGUGAGCUCUGUCCAAACUGAAUCGGGCGAUUCAGUCGCCAUGGCCAGUUACUGAAGGUCGAUCUUUGCCAACGUUUCACUCGCGAUUCACUCGAUGGUUUUGGCUCAGAUUUGUUUCAUUGGGUAGAGCUACACGAGAUCUACAAGUUUGUUUACAGGAUCAAAGUCUAACUCGGCCUGGAUUUCAAUCUACAAAGCUCCCAAGUACCCUACCUCCGAAACUGUGUCGAUUCUGACUUAGGCAAAUUUGGCUAAGUGUGGAAACAGCCCUUAUUUUUGCCUUGUGAGCUAAUUUUGGAUGUGUUCCAAGCAUUUUCAUAAAAAGUCAUCAACACAACUUUUGUAGCUUAUGAAAUUUACUACAACUUUGUUUUAGAUGUUAUUUACAUGCAAGGUCUAUAACACCAGUUUCAUAAAACAUCUUUGAAAAGAGGUUUAGGGGGUUAAUUAGGUCAACCUAUGGUUAACCAUGACUUAGGGGCAUUUUUGGGCAAAACUUUCAACAUAAACUUUAUUCAAAAAGUUAUUCUAAACAUGAUUAAAGUAUUUUGGAAGACAAUGUGCACUUGUAUGCAUUGGUCACCCAUUACUAACACACAUAGCAAGUCAUACAAGCAAUUUAACCACAUAAUGUAUACACCAAAUGACAUGUGAUCAUGGUAUGAUGCUCAUGAGUGAUCAUGAUGAUUCUUAUGUUGAUGCAAUGCUCAUGGUUAACAUGCAAGCUAACACUAGAAGUGUUACAGCCCUCCCCCUUACAAAAAUCUCGUCCCGAGAUUUGAAAGACGUACUAUUUUUCAUAGAAUGAGGGGUAAGUUGCUUGUAAAUAGUCUUCCCUUUCCCAAGUGGCAUCUCUUUCUCUUUGACGGUUAUACAAGACCCUAAAAAGUUUAAUCACUCUUCCCCGAGUAACUCUUUCCUUGACAUCAAGAACUUGCACAUGCUUCUCUUCAUAAGAUAGAUCUGAUUGUAAUUUAAGACCUCCUAUUUCAACUCUUUCUUCGGGCACACAGAGGCACUUCUUGAGUUGAGACACAUGAAAUACAGGGAAAAUAGCUCUCAUUUUCGGAGGUAGUUGUACCUUGUAAGCCACUUUGCCGCUUUUCUCAAUGAUUAGGUAGGGACCCACAUAUCUCGGAGCGAGCUUCCUUUUUACACCGAAGCGAUUUACUCCUUUCAUGGGUGAUACCUUCAGGUACACAAAGUCACCUACUUCAAACUCGAGUGGUCUUCUUCUUCGGUUAGCAUAGCUUUUCUGUGUAGCUUGCGCAGCUUCUAUGUGUUUCUAGAUAAUGAGAACUUGCUUUUCGGCUUCCUCGACAAAGUCAAUUCUGUAGUACCUCCUUUCACUAGGUUCGACCCACUUUAGAGGAGUUCUACACUUGCGGCCAUACAAAGCUUCGAAAGGAGCCAUUCAAAUACUCUCUUGAUAGCUAUUAUUGUAAGAGAAUGCAACUAAGGGUAGCCACUUCUCCCAUACACCCUUGGAAGAGAUGACACAUGCCCAAAACAUAUCCUCUAAGAUCUGAUUCACCCGCUCAGUCUGACUGGAGGUUUGAGGAUGGUAGGCUGAACUACGAACCAAUUUUGUACCAAGGAGCGAAUGCAAAUGCUCCCAAAAGCGGGCAGUGAACUGUGGACCUCUAUCAGAUUCAUGCAACUUAACAAUGUGAGAGAAGUACAACUCAGCAUAGUCGGAUGGUUAGUAGGUAGAAUGUACGGGAAUAAAAUGAGCUGACUUGGUCAAGCGGUCAACAAUAACCCAAAUAGAGUUGUGUCCCUUUUGAGUAGGGGGAAGUCCAACAAUGAAAUCCAUGCUGAUUUCUUCCCACUUCCAACCUGGGAUCGACAAAGGUUGCAAUGAACUUGCAGGCUUAAGGUGAACUACCUUUACCCUGCACCAAGUGUCACACCUAGCAACAUGAGCGGCUAUCUCUUUCUUCAUCUUGGUCCACCAGAAAUGAGGUUUCAAGUCUUGAUACAUUUUGCUACUACCAGGAUGAAUGGACAACUUGGAAGAAUGAGCUUCAUCUAAGAUUUUGUUGCGUAGGUCACGGUCUUUAGGUACAACUAGUCGAUCAUCAAACCAUAAUACACCUUUCUCAUCUAUCCUGAAAUGCUUGGUGUCUUGCUCUUUCAUCUUUCUUUCGAUAUGAAAGAUACCAGGGUCAGUCUUUUGAAGCUCUAUAAUUUGACUCUCUAACGAACAACUAACUACAAUGUUGUGCAGGACCACAGGAUGCAAUAAAUUGAAACCUUCCUCUAGGAGAGGUCUAACAUGUUGUUUCCGGCUAAGAGCGUCGGCUACAACAUUGGCCUUUCCUGGAUGAUAGUGUACUUCCAGAUUAUAGUCCUUUAUCAACUCCAACCAUCUUCUUUGUCUCAUGUUUAGCUCGGGCUGAGUGAAGAUAUAUUUGAGGCUCUUAUGGUCGGUAUAAAUAUGACACAGAUUACCCAACAGAUAAUGUCUCUAGAGUUUCAAUGCGUGUACAACUGCUGCUAACUCUAGAUUGUUGAUAUUUGGGAACGCAAUAAGGAAUGGAUCCGCAAGCGCAUGGAUAUCGGUGAGCACUUCACCCGGGAGGUUAUCCAGAGUAUCGUAUUUAUAUUUUUACCACUAGGAGAAAGAGUGCAUCUGACUAACCUGGUCUAUUACUACUAACCUCUAGGCUACAAAGAAUGUUUCUCGAUGUGAGUGAUAUAUAGAGAAGACUACAACCGUAAUCUCUUUCUGACCUUGGUAAGGAUGAUCUACUAUUCUAUUGGGGAAGCUUACAGAAUCUAGACACCAUAGAGGAUGUUCAACCCGCACCUAUAAACCCUAUCCUUCCUGCUAACGAGAUAUGGUCUACAAAGGUAACUCGGAAAUGUCACGUUUCUCGCUACUACCAUGGUCUAGCUAGUCAGGGCAUAUCUAUGAGUAUCCUAGCCCAAACACCACGUCUACGCUAGAGAUGAUUACUCUAAACUCUACGCGAAGAGAUUAAAGUAAACUCAUAAACCAAAGAACAAUAAAAUAAGAACUUACUAGAAUUUAGAAGUCGAUAUAUUGAAGAAUCCUAGGAGCAAGCUUCAGGUUAGGAGAACUUGAUCCUGCAGGUACAACCUCGGAGUAGACACCGACGGGCCGGGCUUUCUCCGAUCUACACCUCCACUCUAUCUCUCUCAAUCUAGUAGAAACUAGAAGAUCUAAUUCUACUCACAUUGGAUGCUAAGCCCUAAGUCUAUUUAGAGGAGAGGUAUUCCUUUGAGGGCUCCUCUCAACUCUAUUAUGAACUUGUCUCCUCCAGGGGCCAGGGGGUCUGCUUUUAUAGUCCCCUCAGGUGAACGUGAGCCGUUGGAUCAAACCGACAUUGAUUGAACGGUUAUUCUUGAUCCUUUAGGUCGGUGGAGUGUAAUCCCGAAAGAGAGUCCUGAUUGGACUCUAGAGGGGGGCGGGCGCCCUGGUCCCUAGGGCGGGCGCCCUGGGCCAGGCCCCGUUCUGCCUCCGCUUCGUUCUCGUGGCUUCUGGAGUCUUCUAGAUGGUAGAAAAUUGCGCGGUGCGUUAAUAUCUCUAUGUAAUCCCGACAUGUGGGCCUUUCAUCCUUAUUUCCUGAUAACCCCUUGUAGAAAUAGUUAAACAACAAAACUCGUGGAAUUCUGUCAGAUGAAACCCUAAUUCUAGGUGUUGUUUGUAUAUUGGUCCUUUCCCUUGUUUAUUUGAUAAUUAAAAUUGAUACUUAAGAACCAUCAACAAAUACCCCCAUACUUAGGCUUUUACUCGUCCUCGAGAAAAGGAUGGUUAAGAAAAAUAUUUGGGGUUAAAACAUUGUAAAGCAUUCUCUUCAUACCUGCAGGGUGUUGUAAAAAUUCACUGUGUACUUUAGUCAGGGAAAUAUAUGAUCAAGAGUAGCGAUCCUUUCUUCUUAAUCCUAUUACUUGGAGUUUUUGUAUAUUUUUGAAAAGAAAUUUAGCAUACCUUUAUCCUCAUAGGUUCUCUCAGAUCACUCAUUAUCUUUUGUAUAUCUCACUGAGGCUGUUUUAAUUUGCAAAAAUUCACAAGCAUUCUUACCUUGCAUUUAUUGCUUGAUCAAAACGGGAUCCGAGGAGAAGAAUGCCAUACUCUUAGAUCAAAGACUUUGGAAAUUAAAAACUUGUCAACUCUUACUGGAAUAUUUCUUAUUAGAGGGACCAUGGGCUAUCAUUUUCUUUAUUUUCUUUAUUUUAAGUGGAUACCGAGGUACCCCUAAUUCUACUGCCGGACACUUGUCCAUUUUUUGUGCGAGGUUAUCGAGCACUUGCUCCUUUUUAUUUCCUCGAAAUAUCCUUAUUUUUGCAUAGCCCAUGCCUCUAAUGCAAUAAUACUUCGGAAGAGUGAAUCUUUCUGAGUAAAUAUCUUGAUCUUAGGAGCAUGAUAAAUCUCUCAACAAGGGUCUAUCUCAUUUUGAACAAACUCAAUACAGAGUAGAUAGCUUUUAUAAUCAUAAUUAAUAUUUUCAGUUUCAUCAGGCAUAUAAAACACUGAGGAUGGUAGCUAGAAUUUUUGAAUAAAUUCUCCAAGCAACAAUAAUAUCAAGAAUAAGAAACUUAUACUCUACCAUCUCACAUUCCACAAUGACUUAAGUAACACAGGGUUUUAAAAUGAUUUUAUCAAUAAUUGCAAGUUUCAGGAAAUAUUACAGAGUGAGAUUAAUCAUGAUUAUAAACAUUUUGAUCUUUUUAAUUUAUCAUAUCAGAGACAAUAUUCUGCAUAAUCCAAGAUAUAUAUGUGUAUGUGUAAAGUAAAGUGUGCAGAGUAUGUACCUGAAUCAUGGAGUGAUGUAGUCGGAGUGUGUUUGGCAUGUCGAGGGAUCUCCCCCAUACUUGUUUCUGCUUUCUUGAAUAAAAAUAAAGUAGAGACACACAAGACAUAAUAAUAAUAAUACUCUUUAUUAAUCUUGAGGCAUUUAUUAUAAAUGACAAGUAGCAAACUGACGAUAAUAGUAAAUCUAAACCGAAUUUAAAGAUAAAUAACUAAGAUGCAUUGCCUCAAGAUCUAAUCUAGAUAACUUAGCGGCGCUCUAACUCCUUGAUCUUUUUAUUGGCACUAGCAAGAUCAUGCCAAAGGCCUAGUAUAACGGUGUUGUGGUUAGAGAGCUGCCUAGUGAUGGAGUUAACCGAGGACCGAAGGUCUAUGAUGACCCUAUCUAGCCUGCGAACGUCCUCAUCAAUAUCUACUAUAGUCUUGCGACGCUUAGGAGGUGCCUCAAAAAGCAUUGAGAGCGUGCUUCGGGGCUGCAUUUGGAGGGAUGAAACGGACUUUGGCUGCUCUAAUCCCUUAAAAGUAAGGCCUCUCCUCUUCCGUAGUGUAGCGGAUGCUGCUGAUCUCGCCGCUCCGGUUGGUCUUGACUCCAACGACCCUCACAUUGGAUCUAGGUGGAAGGAUCCUCGUGUCGGCUGGCACCUUGAUGGUGGUCUCCUUCUUGGGUGAUGGUCCCUUGAGACGUAGGGGCUGUGGCGGUGAGAACAGGUUGAGCAUGGUAGGAUUGGGCGGAGCUGCGUGUUGACGGUCCUUAAGUACCAAAUAUAAUCAUCAAAUAAAUAAAGAAAAGGAUCCAAAUGCAACCAACACCCAGACUUAGGGUUUUAUCUAACAGAAUUCCAUGAGUUUUGGUGUUUGUCUAUUUCUACAGGGGGUUAUCAGGAAAUUUGGAGGAAAGGCCCACACGUCGGGUUUACAUAGAGAUAUUAACGUGCCGCGUAAUUUUCUAUCAUCUAGAAGACUCCAGAAGCAACGGGAACGAACGGGAAGCCGAGCGGGCUCAAGGGCAGGGCGCCCGCCCUCCCCCUUGGGCGCCCGCCCAGCUACAGAGUCCAAACAGGACCCUUCUCGCGGAUUACGUUCCACCGACCUAAAGGAUCAAGGAUAACCGUUCAAUCAAUGUCGGUUUGAUCCGACGACCCAGAUUCACUUGAAGGGACUAUAUAAGCAGAACCCCUGGCCCCUGGAGGAGGCACCCCUUGAUCCUUAUUCAUUAUUCAUAGACAGAGCAAAAGCUAGGGUUUGGAGAUGAGAGCUCUCCUCUCAUCUCUAAACUAGAGUAGAUCUAGAUAGUAGCGAGAUGGAGAGCGAGGAAGGAUUGGAGGAGUGGCCGGCCUGUCGGUUCUUCCUCCGGUUGUACUUCGUCAUGAUCAAGUUCUAAUCAAGCUUGCUCUUGGGAUGACUCUGGUAAUCUACUUCUAAUUCAUUAUGCAAUUACUAUCCAUGUAUGUUCUGGUUCACAACUCUUUUGAGUACUUUAAUCUAUAGGACACUAUAGGUGAGAGUUGUAGUAUAGGUGUAAGCGUGGUGCUUAAACCUAGAUUACUUGUGGAUAUCCCCUGUCUAGCUGGAUCGUGUGGUAAGCCGCGUAGGUGACAGUUACAUUGGUCCCCUUAGUCCACCUCUUGUUAGCAGGACAGGUAGGGUUUAUCGGCCUAUGGAUAAGCAUCCUUUGUGGUGUAUUCUUAUCACGUGGUUCGUCCCAGACUUAGACAUACCCCUUUGAAGUAGAGAAACCAUAGUUAUCCUCUCUAUUCUCCUACCAUCGCCCAUAUACUAGAUUGCUCUACUCUCUAUUCCCAUAUUAUCACCCAUUGUUAUCUUACCUUUAAUAUUGUUCUUAUUCAAUUCUAUCAUCUUUCCUACCUAUCUAUCUAGGUUAAGUUAGAGCGUAGAUCAGUUCUCCCGUUUCCCUGUGGAUACGAUAAAACCUUUAACCGGGUAAAAGCUACAACGGUAUCCAUGCGCUUGCGGAUUUAUCUGUGUGCGUAUAAAUACCAUAGUACACUCUAGUGCCAUGCUGGGGAUGACAACCUAGUAUUCAAGUGGUGUUAGCAAGUGUCAACACUGCGCUGGCGUAAUGGCAUGGCUUCUAGCUGUCGCUCUGUGUUGGCCGGGACGAGAGCACGGGCGUUGGGGUCUUCCUUAGGCUUCAUGUUGAGGUUAAAGGGGACGACUUCCCAAUCGUCGUGGAACUCUUCGGCCAUUGGAGCAGCGAGGGAGUAAACAAGCUCUAAUUGAAGAAGAAGAAGAAGAGAUGGCUUGGAUAGAUUGGUGUUUGAAAACUGAUGUCAGGGGUCUGUUUAUAUAGGGGUCAAAAAGUGCCUCUAGGGGUUGUUCGGGUUACUCCCGUCGCCGUGCGUGCGAAACUUUCCAUCUGAAGGUUUAUUUGGUUUACCAUAAAUGUGUUUUCCAUGACGGGGGAGAUCGGGACCGAGUGGGGUCAGGGGCUGGGCGCUCGCCCUCUUGAUCAGGGCGCCCGCCCUGUGCGUGGCUCCUCUAUGGGCCCGCUUCCUCGAGCGUGUUUCUAGAUGCAAAACUUAUUAGGAAAAUAUAUGUGUGACCCAAAAACGUCAGAUUAAAAAGGUUGGGCUCUAAAUCUCCAUGGGAAGGUAAAAAUGGAUUACGUCUAUUUCUUCUAAUUCUUUAUGGGCUCUAAAAAUAAUUUAAGACGUUGGCCAUUUACCUUGAAUAACGUACCUUCGUCAUUUUGAAGUGUGAUAGCUCUGUGGCAUGAUGAAUUGAUUACCUUGAAUGGUCCUUCCCAUUUACUCCGGAGUUUUCCAUGCCCGAAAAGCUUCACCCUGGAAUUAAAAAGUAAUACCUUUUCUCCGGGUGUGAACUCCUUCUUGUUGAUCCUCUUGUCAUGCCACCUUUUGACUCUUUCUUUGUAGAUCUUCAAAUUGUGAUAUGCUUUCUCUCGCCAUUCUUCCAAUUCUGAUAGUUGCAUUUUUCUAUGGUCUCCAGCGACAUCUAGGUCCAUAUUCCAUCUCCUUAUGGCUCAGUGUGAUUUGAAUUCUAGUUCAAUAGGUAGGUGGCAAGUCUUCCCGUACACCAAUUGGUAUGGAGACAUUCCAAUUGGAGUCUUGUAUGAUGUCCGGUAUGCCCAGAGUGCAUCGGGUAACUUGUCUUUCCAUGCCGUUCCCAUUUCAUUCACUGUCUUCUGAAGCAUAUUCUUGAUUUGCUUGUUGGAAGUCUCUGCUUGGCCACUUGUCUGAGGAUGAUAGGGGGUAGCGAUGUUGUGACGGAUUUCAUGUUUUGAUAGAUAUUGCUUGAAACGUUUAUCGAUGAAGUGUGCUCCUCCAUCACUUAUCACUACUCUGGGGACUCCAAAUCUUGGAAAUAUAAUUUCUUCAAACAUCCUCUUUGAACUGACGUUGUCGGCAUGCUUGCAAGGUAAUGCCUCUACCCACUUGGAGACGUAGUCAACUGCCACCAAGAUGAACUCACACUUCUUUGAUGGGGGAAAUGGACCAAUGUAAUCUAUUCCCCAGACAUCAAAGAGCUCAAUCUGAAGAUUGUUGAUGAGUGGCAUGGCAUCUCUUGUAUUUAUGUUUCCGUGCCUUUGACAUGGCCCACAUCUUCUGAUAUAUUGCUUCGUGUCUUCAUACAUCGUAGGCCAGUAGAAUCCACAUUGCCAGAUCUUUGAAUGUGUACGGAAUGCUCCAUAAUGACCUCCAUAUGGUGAUGAAUGACAUCUAUCGAUAAUCUUCCAUCGUUCCUCAGUGGUCACACACCUCCUGAGUAAGCCAUCAGAGCAUACUCGGAAGAGGUAUGGCUCAUCCCAUAUAUGUGAACGACUUUCUUGAAUAAGCUUCUUCUUGUUUGCUCCUGGUGGUACAUACCCUGAAACCAUAAAAUUAACAAUAUCUGCAUACCAGGGGUCAGACCUGUUAAUCCCGUAGAGCAUGUCGUCCCGGAGUGAAUCAUUGAUGGGGGUUUCCUAUGGACUCUUAAAAUACAUUCUAGACAAGUGAUCAGCAACAGAAUUUUCUAUUCCCUUUUUAUCUUUUAUUUCUAAGUCAAAUUCUUGAAGUAAUAAGAUCCAUCUAAUCAGGCGAGGUUUAGCAUCUUUUUUAGUGAGCAAAUAUUUUAGUGCAGCGUGAUCAGUGUAAACAAUUAUUUUACCUCCAACUAAAUAAGAUCUAAAUUUAUCAAUGGCAAAGACAAUAGCCAGAAGCUCUUUUUCAGUGGUUGCAUAAUUAAGUUGAGCUCCUGUCAAAGUUUUAUUGGCAUAAGCAAUUGCAUGAUGCUUCUUAUUUUUAGUUUGUCCCAAAACUGCCCCACAGCAUAAUCAUAGCAUCACACAUAAUUUCAAAAGGCAACGACCAAUCAGGGGGUUGAAUGAUUGGUGUAGAGAUGAGUGCUUUCUUUAAUAAAUUAAAAGAUGUUAGACAUGCAUCAUUAAAUUCAAAAGGAGAAUCCUUGGCUAGCAAAAGAGUAAGUGGUCUAGCAAUAAAUGAAAAAUCUUUUAUGAAUCUACGAUAAAAACCAACAUGGCCAAGAAAGCUUCGAAUUCCUUUUAUAUUCAUAGGUGGAGGUAGUUGUUCAAUUACUUCAAUUUUAGCUUUGUCUACCUCAAUACCUCUUUUAGACACUAGGUGUCCCAGCACUAUUCCUUCCCUAACCAUGAAAUGACAUUUUCCCAAUUAAGGACUAAGUGCUUUUCUUCACAUCUUUGCAAAACCUUGUCUAAGUUUUCAAGACAACUAUCAAAAGUUUUUUCAUAAAUAGAGAAAUCAUCCAUGAAAACUUCCAUAAUCUCUUCAAUCAUAUCAGAAAAUAUAGACAUCAUGCAUCUUUGAAAAGAAGCUGGUGCAUUACAUAACCCAAAAGACAUUCUACGGUAAGCAUAAGUUCCAUAUGGGCAUGUAAAAGUGGUUUUGCUUUGAUCAUCGGGAUGGAUCGGGAUCUGGUGAUACCCUGAAUAUCCAUCUAAGAAAUAGAAGAACGAAUGGUUCGCUAAUCGCUCUAGCAUCUCAUCUAUGAAAGGUAAAGGAAAAUGAUCCUUUCUCGUGGCUUUGUUUAGUUUCCUAUAGUCUAUGCACAUCCACCACCCUGUGACGGUGCGUUGCGGAAUUAGCUCGUUCUUUUCAUUCAUAAUUGCAGUCAUGCCUCCCUUUUUAGGCACAAUCUUGAACUGGGCUUACCCACUCACUGUGCGGCAUAGGAUAUAUAAUCCCUGCAUGCAGCAACUUUAUAACUUCCUUUUUAACUACCUCUCUCAUCGUGUUGUUAAGUCUACGUUGGGGCUCUCGAGAGGGUGAAACAGAAGGAUUUGUCGGAAUACGAUGGGUACAAAUCAUAAUACUGAUUCCUGUAAGAUCUUGGAGUGAGUAGCCGAAAACUGAGUGAUGUUUCUCAAGAAUGGUCAUCAAUCGCAGAGUUUGCUCCUGAGUGAGUUUAUCACUAAUGAUCACAGGAAACUCUGGAUUAUUGUUUAGGAAAGCAUAGAUAAGACCGGGUGGUAAAGUUUUAAGCUCUAUGGGAGGUCUAGGCGUUUCUGCAAACUCGUCUAAGGGUUCAGGUUCAGAUGGUUCAACUUCUUCUUCUGUGAAGAAAGGAGCUUCGUCUUCUAAGUCUGGUUUGUCUAAAAGCUCUAGAGAUGCAGCCUUUACCUCCUCCAUAGGAUCAGGUAAAAGAUAUGACUUGGCCUUAUUAUUUAAGGAGUGUGAAAUUGUUAUUGGAAAUUUAAAAGUUUUUCCAAAAGAAAUGUGUAGCUUUCCAGUAUGACCUUCAUAAAGGAGUCUUCUAAAAGGUUGUCCUGUCAACAGGUCGAAGUCCCAUGUAUCAAAGAUAUAGAAUUUUAAAUGAACCAUGGAUCCUUCUACCGUAAGGGGUAGGACAUUAAUAAUUCCAAGACUAGGGACUAAUCGUCCCGAAGAUUCCUUUAUGACCUUUGUUGUGGGGGUUAAGACCAAAUUUUUAAAUAGUUUAAGUGCAAAAGAUUCAGACAUGAUGUUGAUCCCCACAACAGGAUUAUAGAGAGCAUCAAAUCGAUCAGAAUCAUAAGCACAACGUAUAGUUAUAGAGGGUGUGUCCAAAUGGAUCACCUCAGAGGAAAGCUCUGAUUCCUCUUACCACUCGCUACUCAUGACAGAGAUAAGUUCUCUCAAUUGAUGUUCACUUUGUAAACAAAUGCUAAAAUGGCCAUUUUGGGGUAUGUUAAUAGAAUGGUAGUUUGAAAUGUUUCCAAAAUCGGCAAAAAGAUCAGAUUCUAUAUCCAGCAUGAAAUCAGGUGGUGGAAUUUCUUCCUUUUGUGGCUUAGAACUUGGGAUAGCUAAAGUAGAUGGAGAAUUUGGCAGAGUGUCUACUUCGGCUUCGUGGGUUUCAUCAUGAAGGGUAUUAUCCAUCUCAGCUUCUAGGAUUCUAUCUAAGAUCACUCUAGCAUCAUCAGCAGGGAUGUGAAAGAAAGAACCUCUAGACAUUGUAUGUAGCAUUUGUUUAUGAUCUUUCUGAAGACCUCGAAAAAAGAGAAAUAAAAGAACAGGGUCUUCAAGAUUAAGGUUUGGACCAGAUUCUAAAAGAUCAGAAAAACAUUUCUAGGAUUUUCCCAAAGUUUCAUUAUCUUUUUGUUUAAAAUAUAGGACUUCGAGUCUAAGGUCGCCGAUACGGUCGAGGGAAUAAAAAUCUAGACAAAAGUUGGCUCGUAAAACUCCCCAUUCACCUCGUUGUUGACUUACCUUCUGACUGUACCAUUGUCUAGCUUCUCCCCUUAAAGAAAAAGGACAAAGCUUCCAACAUAAAGUUUUAUCAGAAAUGCCUUCAAUGCGAAGACAAUCACAUGUUUGCUCAAAAUCUCUAAUAUGAAGGUAAGGGUUUUCGUCUUCCUUUCAUGAAAAAGAUAGGUUUUGAAUCAUGGCAAUCAACCUAGAACUUAACCUAUACUGGGAUGUUUGGAUAGGCUGUGAUGACUCCCAUGGUAAAAGGUUAGUUUCCGAAGGUGUUGCAAAUUGGUAGAUUGAUUUAGAAUCUUGGUUUUCCAUAAGGUAAGAGUAUAGAAAAUAAAUAAAGAAUAUAAAAGAUAAGAAAAGAUAAAAGUAUAGAUACAAGCUAGUAGUAAGACUCAAGGUUAUCUCAGCAAACCAUCUUUCUCCCCGACAACGGCGCCAGAAAUGCUUGUUGAUAUUUGGGAACGCAAUAAGGAAUGGAUCCGCAAGUGCAUAUAUAUCUUUGAGCACUUCACCCGGGAGGUUAUCCAGAGUAUCGUAUUUAUAUUUUUACCACUAGGAGAAAGAGUGGAUCUGACUAACCUGGUCUAUUACUACUAACCUCUAGGCUUCAAAGAAUGUUUCUUGAUGUGAGUGAUAUAUAGAGAAGACUACAACCGUAAUCUCUUUCUAACCUUGGUAAGGAUGAUCUACUGUUCUAUUGGGGAAGCUUACGGAAUCUAGGCACGAUAGAGGAUGUUCAACCCGCACCUAUAAACCCUAUCCUUCCUGCUAACGAGAUAUGGUCUACAAAGGUAACUCGGAAAUGUCACGUUCCUCGCUACUACCACGGUCCAGCUAGUCAAGGGAUAUCUAUGAGUAUCCUAGCCCAAACACCACGUCUACGCUAGAGAUGAUUACUCUAAACUCUACGCGAAGAGAUUAAAGUAAACUCAUAAACCAAAGAACAAUAAAACAAGAACUUACUAGAAUUUAGAAGUCGAAAUACUGGAGAAUCCUUGGAGCAAGCUUCGGGUUAGGAGAACUUGAUCCCGCUGGUACAACCUCGGAGUAGACACCGACGGGCCGGGCUUCCUCCGAUCUACACCUCCACUCUAUCUCUCUCAAUCUAGUAGAAACUAGAAGAUCUAAUUCUACUCACAUUGGAUGCUAAGCCCUAAGUGUAUUUAGAGGAGAGGUAUUCCUUUGAGGGCUCCUCUCAACUCGAUUAUGAACUUGUCUCCUCCAGGGGCCAGGGGGUCUGCUUUUAUAGUCCCCUCAGGUGAACGUGAGCCGUUGGAUCAAACCGACAUUGAUUGAACGGUUAUCCUUGAUCCUUUAGGUCGGUGGAGCGUAAUCCCAAAAGAGAGUCCUGAUUGGACUCCAGAGGGGGGCGGGCGCCCUGGGCCAGGCCCCGUUCUGCCUCCGCUUCAUUCUCGUGGCUUCUGGAGUCUUCUAGAUGGUAGAAAAUUGCGCGGUGCGUUAAUAUCUCUAUGCAAUCCCGACAUGUGGGCCUUUCUUCCUUAUUUCCUGAUAACCCCCUGCAGAAACAGAUAAACAACAAAACUCGUGGAAUUCUAUCAGAUCAAACCCUAAUUCUAGGUGUUGUUUGUAUAUUGGUCCUUUCCCUUGUUUAUUUGAUAAUUAAAAUUGAUACUUAAGAACCGUCAACAUAGAUCAUGAGUCAGGUAGUUAGCUUCAUGCUUCUUCACCUGCCGAGAGGCAUAGGCAAUGACUCGGCCUUCUUGCAUAAGUACACAACCUAGGCCAGUACCAGAUGCAUCACAAAAGACAUGAAAUGGCUUUUCAAUGUCAGGUUGUGCCAAAACAGGGGUGGUGGUCAGCAAAUGGCGUAAAGCGAUGAAAGCGACUUCACACUCCUGAAACCACACAAAUUUCACAUCCUUUGCAGUAGCUUGGUCAUAGGCUUGACUAUCUUGGAGAAGUCUGGAAUAAAAUGACGAUAAUAUCCAGCUAGACCGAGAAAACUUCAAUCCUCAUGCACUGAAGUCGAGGCCUUCCAGUCUAGAACCUCCUGCACCUUUGACGGGUCAACAGAAAUACCGUCUUCAGAUAAAAUAUGGCCUAAGAAAGGCACUUUCUUCAGACAAAACUCACACUUGCUGAACUUGGCAUAGAGUUGAUGUUCUCGCAAUCUAGUGAGUAUAAUCCGAAGGUGCUUCUCAUGGUCUUGGGCAUUUUCAGAAUACACCAAUAUGUCAUCGAUUAACACUACCACAAACUUAUCCAGUUUAGGCAUGAACACCGAAUUUAUCAGGUACAUGAAAUGAGCAGGGGCAUUAGUCAGACCAAAGGACAUGACUAGAUAGUCAUACAACCCAUACCUGGUCGAGAAAGCCGUUUUGGGGAUGUCUUCAGGUCGAAUCUUGAUUUGAUGAUACCCGGAUCUCAGAUCAAUCUUUGAGAACACCUUAGCCUUGGCUAAUUGAUCAAACAGAAUAUCAACGUGAGGCAAGGGAUACUUGUUUUUGAUAGUCACGGCAUUCAGCGGACGAUAGUCUACACACAUACGUAGAGACUUGUCCUUGUUCUUGACAAAGAGAGCCAGACAACCCCAUGGAGAAGAACUAGGCCGAAUAAGACCUUUCUCCAGGAGUUCUUGCAACUGCUUCUUCAACUCGGCUAAUUCAUUGGGUGGCAUUCGAUAUGGCCUUCUAGAGAUGGGUGCGGUACCCGGAAUUAGAUCAAUUUUAAACUCUAUAUCUCUGUCUCGUGGCAACCUAGGCAGAUCCUCUAGAAAGACAUCCGGAAACUCACACACUAUAGGAAUCUCUGCCACAGUGAGUGGUCUGAUAGCGUUUGUAGCGUGACGGAUGUCAUCAUUUUUGGGAAGUUAGACUAAGAAAGCUUCUUUACUAUCUGGCUCCCUCAACAUGACUACCCUCGUUGAGGUAUCUAUCAACACCCCAAGCUUACUCAUCCAAUUCAUUCCCAGAAUAACAUCUAUUCCCAAGCCUAGAAAGAUUACUAGAUCUGCUGAAUAAUUACGCCCUUCAAUUGCAAUAUGUACAUCCCUCACUAAUUGAUUUGUAGCGAUUUGAUUACCAGCAGCACUAAUGCAAAAUUUGCCAUUGUCAAGAUCAACUACAUGCUGCCCAUGUUUAGAUGCAAAUGCCUGACUCAUGAAUGAAUGCGAAGCUCCGGAAUCAAACAAGACAACUGCGGGAUGUUGGUUGACAAGAAACAUACCAGUGGUGACCACUACACCUUCAGGGAUCUCCUCAACAGUGGUAUAGUGCACUCGGCCGGUACGGUUAUUAGUCCCAGCUGCAGUUCCUCUUGGGAUAAGGGCAAUCCCUCGCCCAGUGACCAACUUGUUUGCAGUUAAAUCAGGGACGGUUAUCAGGGGGAGUCUUGGGGCCUCCUUGACCUAUAGCACCCCUAGGAAGAGCAACUGUGAAGGAUUUCUGAACUCCUGUCUUCACAUUUGACUUCUUCUGCGGCGGCCUGUACCUUGUCACAGCAUUGGGCGGACGAUAGGCCGGCUUACUUGUCACCUGAGCCUUGGACUGCGAAGCACCUGCUUCAUAGGCCCUCUUGCGGUUCUUGGAUGCAACAUAGAUAGCAUUAGAGUUCUCCUAGGUCAACGCAUCACUCACAAACUCAUUGAAGGUGGUACACUUAUUACCAGCCAUGUUCUUGGACAGCUUGGGCCCCAGUCCCCUCUUGAAACUAGCAAGCUUCUUGUCCUCAGUAUCAAUAAACUCAGGAGCAUAGCGAGACAAGUUAUUGAAGGCAUGAAGAUACUUAGUCAAACUUUUAGUUCCCUGAGUCAAGUUCAUGAACUCGGUAUGCUUGAUAGUCAGUAAGCCCUGCGGAAUAUAGGUGUUCCUGAAAGCAGUUUGGAACUGAUCCCAGGUUACAACAGCAUUGGCAGGCAAGCUGGUCCUAUAAUGACUCCACCAGACACCUGCUUUGCCCUCCAACUGGUGUGCUGCAUAUUCCGCAUUCACUUCUUUAGUCAUCCUUAACAAGCGAAACUUUUGCUCAAGGGUAUUGAGCCAUUCAUCAGCUUCCAGAGGUUCAGAGGCCUCCUUGAAAACCAGUGGCUUCGUGUCCUGAAAAUCCUUGAAGCUGCUAUACUGAUUCGCUUCUCCGCCUUGGCGGGCAUGGCGACCACCCCGAUUCUGCUGUGCCAUGGUCUGCAUAGCUUCAUUUAGCAUCCGCUGGCCGUCCACAAGAGUUGCCAGGAGCUCAACAGGCAUAGGCAGGGGAGGUGGUGGUGGUGGCGGCACCUCAUUGUGACCGGAGCGAGUAUUGCAAGCCAUCUGCACAAGGCAUACCAAGUGACCGUUUAGGAUAACAGAUAUAAUUGCCAUGAAUCUCAAUUGAUGCCGUAUGGAAUUCAAUGAAAUAAAUUCACAUAAUACAAGGCACAAUAAUCCAUGUACAACAAGGGAAUAUCAUCCACGACACUGGUUAUUCUCACGAUCAUUCACAACCACAUUUCACAAGGAUUAAAGACAUUGCUGGAAAUUAUUUAAGCUCAACAUAACCAUGGAGCAUCACACACAGGUGCAUAGGGUUACACAGAGUCUUUGUCACAACUUAAGUCUUACUGAAAGGGCAUCAUGGCCAAUACAUAAAGUCUCACUGGAAUUUCAGAUUACAUGUCCAUUACAUAAGGAGAUGGGAACUAGUACAUAAAUAUGGAAACCAUUGCGAAACUAUAGUUCUUCUUCAGAUUCUCCAUUAGAGAUUAUGCCAUCAUCCUGAUCUUCCUCACUGGGGUCCUCUUCAUGAUUAACGGGGACAGGGUGUGGAAUAGGAUUUAUGACAUUAUUUAGGUGAUGGACAUCUAACUGCAGCUCAGCAAUCCUAUUGAUCAGCUCUUCCUCUCUAAUCUCAGCGUGGAACAAAGCUCUAACUCUAGCAGCUUCUUUAUUUUCAGACAAGUGCAUAGCCUCAUCUCGCUCUCUAGUCAUUUGCAUCAUGCGUGCUUGUGCCUCAUUGCACUCUGUAACUGCAUUUUCAACUUGAUUGCGGCGGGCUUGCAAAGCGGUAUGGUAGUUUUGAAUUUCAGCUUGUGCAUCACUAAAGGCUUUGCGGUGCUUGCACACACGCUUGCAUAGUUUGCGCUGCCAAACUUGAGCUUGCUGAAGCGCUAGCAUGGCUUCUAUGUAGGUAUCUUGGCGUACAUAGUACAGCUUCAGUACCGCCGGCAUGGCACUCAUAGCAGGGCUAGAGCUAUAUCCUAGUACGGUUUCUCUCAUCUCCAAGGGCUCAGUUCCUAUUUGAGACACAAAGGUGUCAGUUACACUCACCCUAGGAAAAGAUCCAGCUGGGCCAUUCACUAGAUCAUCACCAUAGUCCUGACAUAUUUCUAACAGCACUUCUAAGGCUGCUACUUGGGCACCCUCCCAAGGAGUUUGACCAUCGGAUUCUACUAUCCAUCCUAGCCACUGUGGGUUAUUUGGACAAGGGGGAACUGUAAUUUUGACAUCUACCCAAGGCAAACAUCCUACAUGCUCAGCCUCUGUCCAAGUGUACCGAGGUGGUUCCUCAUAUCCCACUAAGCUUAGCACUCUCCACAACAAGGUAGGAGUGCCAAACAUGUCCAGAAAAGUCUCAUUUGCAAGUGGGGCUGCCAUCUGUAGGAAAGACCACAACUUGAGUAAGGAAGAUUAAUUACAAGGGAAGGUAAUUAGAUAUAGUUUAGGAAUUAUAAGAAUUGAGUAGUGCAUAAGGGAUGCAUGAAUGAUUCAUGAUGCAUGCACGUUCCAUACGUCCUUACCAUUCCUAGAAGAAAGUUCUAACGGUAUAGUCGGUGGCAUGCAUACGUGCACUCUUUAUACGUAACUACACGGUCUACACGUUUCGUUGUUAGUCUACCUGCAGAAAAUUUCAUUUCAGCCCAACCCCACAAGAGUAUAAUUGCAGAAAUGAAAGUCUAAUCAUCUACAACUAAGCUAGGUACUCCGAUAUAUAUCCCCGAACAUAUAUCGUAGCACACUACCCAUUUGGAAUACACCCACAUAUACAUCAAACAUGUAUACGUGGCUGCACCUACUACCCACAACUAAGUACUUUCAUAUAUACAUGUGUGCAACAUGUAAAUAUUCCAGUAACCAAAGCUAACACUCCCCUAGACCGACGGUUGGACGGUCAUGCUCUCACAGCUCACACUUACCGUAGCGUAGAGGCAUAUAGAUCCAUACAUUACCACUCAAGCAAGUGGCAUCCAUACAAUUUCACGCCGUAUGGACGACGAAAGGAAAACAACAUUGCUUACCAUGGCGUAGAGGCAUGUGAUCCAUUCAUUACCACUUAAGUAAGUGGCACCCAUAUUAUUGCACGCCAUAUGGACGACGAAAGGAAAAACCCCCACGUUAGUAAUAUUAAGCCACCUAGAAGUCCUUAAACGGGCAUAAAGGGUAUGACCACUGGCAUGGUAUAUGUUAUUGAAACAUUUUUAAAACAGCCCUAUGUACAGUCUAAUUUGCCAAUUAGUUUGGGAAAAAUAAAUUCAUUUGUUUUGUAAAUACUUCUAUGAUGGUUAAAUGCUUAAUCUUGCUCCGAUGCCAGCUGUAACACGAGAGCAGUCAAGCCAAUGGACUUGAACCCAUAUAAACCCGGUAGUCCGACGAAACCUCAGAAGAUCUCGAUUCAACCAACAUACAACCAAGAUCGUACAUGAUCAAGCAUCGCCAUCACAGAUUACAUACAUUCAUCACAGAACAUAGUUUUACAACACAUCAGAGUUCAAAUAAAGUUAUUACAAACCAGUUCAGUAGUGGAAGCAAAGUAGUUUUAAAAACCACACACACUCAGUUUAAUUACAUGCUAGAUCCAUAGUCAACCCAACAAAAGCACAACUGAAGGUAAUAGAAGUGAUCAUGCCCAUGAUCUACUCAUCGUACGCAGGCAGAUGAUGACAGUUAGCACAGUAGCCGUGAUAAACGACAUCAUCUGCAACAAAGGUAAAUAAAACCCUGAGUACGAGAAUGUACUCAGCUAGACUUACCCGUCAUAAACCAGAAAUAAAGUGACACCAAGGAGUAUGCAAGGUUAAUAUUUGUGGACUGGUUUGACUCACAUUUUCGCAUAAAAAGCUUUAGUUGUAGGUAACACAUUUAUUGCAUUUUGGCAGCAAGUUCAUUACUUAACAACUAUCCACUUGAUUUGCACCUGUUCUAAGCAUACACUUGAGCAUUAAGCAUCACAAUAAUAACCAUAUCCGGAUUAUCACAUAGCCAUCAUCAUUCUCAUCAUAACCAUCAAUUUUAUUUAAUGAGUUCUACGUUGCCGCUGCUCGAGUCAAGUUCUCACUAUCCGAGAGAGACGGCAAUUUGAAUCGAUUCCUAUCCAGCUAGAGGGGUAUUCCUAGCACUCACCCAAGCACACCUCAUGAGGGCAGCUCGGAUCACCUUUAGCACAACUCCGGACCAAGUCGCGGGUCCGUACGGCGCCGCACCCCCAGGGACCGCCAAUCUACCAGGGUCAGGACUCUAACCUGACACCUCGGUCUUACGCCAUUGACUCCCCGCACAUCCGUGCUACCAACCGGGGUGCGGACUUUAACCAGAUCGAGGUAUCCGACUGGAGAUGCACUCGUAGGCUUCGCGGUCGGAACGACUUAUCCGGCCAACUAAGUGUUAGGCAUGCGUUCAACAUGACAUGAGGACGUACAGCGAUUCGGUCCUUAACCAACACAGACUGGGAUAGAUUCACACCCAAGACCUCCAUGCCUUGUUGCUGCACUAUCGUCAUCCCGCUCGGUCUCAAAAUUCAUUAUUAGCAUAUGGUUAUCUCCAAGAUAGCAAAUAUAGCCAACCGUGAUUCAGUAUCCACCUAACACUCGCAGGUGACAUGAAAUCACCCGACUUCUACCGAGCUAAGCAUGGCUAAGCAUAAUUUCGAUCCUGGACCUACUUAGGUAAGGUAUAAGGUGGACAAGGUAGUUAAAUAUGCAGCAGGGGUGUCAUAUCAACGCCUAACACUUAAUGCAACAAUACAUAACCAUAGUUAAUUGAUAGCUGGACAUGAUAACAAAAUAGUAGGAGUCUUAUAAUGCUUCGGGGCUUGCCUUCAACGUAGGUGGACGGGCGGUGAUCGAGACACUCCGAUAGAUCCUCCUCCUCCUCAGCUCCUUCUCCUUGAGGUGGCUCCCUCUGCUGUUCCUCCGGCUCGGGUGGUGCGAACUCCAAUACCAUCACUCCUUUGGGUACACGUAUGCAUGCAUGACAAGGUGAUACACAUAGGGAAUGCACAUAAGAUGCAAUAUGUCAUGAUGCUGAGCCAAGGCACACAUAGCAAGGUAUAAACAUGAGCACAACCUCCUAAAACCACGUGAGUCACAGAUUAACAAGUGCAUACUUCUUCUCUGGUAGAGAGGCUAACUAGACAAGCUAAUCAACCUUAGCUACUCACACUUUGUCACUGGUGUCAUGGACAGAUUAACUAGCCACAAGUUUCAGCUAUAACCUAGGCAUCAGUUGCCCAAACUAAGCAAGUAGAUACUUUCUAGAAAGCUUAACAAAUUGUCUACAAUUCUCUUUUAGACAUCCCAGAAUGAUUCUGUUGGUGCAAAAGCUGAUCUGCAAACACAAAGGGCUAAUACCCGAUCUAAUCGUUAAGGCGUGCCAGCCGAUUUGACCUUACAAUCGACAAAGGUGGUAACUCGAACACUUUGGUCCCAACAACAGUGAUGCGCCCGGAUGUCACGGCCAAGAGGUGCUCACACGGAACUUGAGAACGUGUCGAGUUUGACUCGAUGAUUUCCUAAGAACUUGUAGUAAAAGGAAAAAUAUGACGAAGUCGUCGAAAAAGUAGAUGCUGGAAUAUGAGUAAAAACUUGUGUUUGAUUGAUUGAUAGAUGUCUCAGUACAUUGCCCUAGGGUCUACAUUUAUACCCUGUCCAAAGAGCUACAACCAGACACAACUAGGACUCGAAUUCCAAAUUAAACGGAACCCGUAUACAAAACGAACUCUAAUAACUAUCCUCUAUGAUAAAUCGGUACGCCAUCCUGAGUCAAUCGGCAACCCCUGCGCUUUUCUUCUAAGUCAUCGGCAACCAUCAGCAUUGGCCAUCGGUAUGAACGUAUCACCACUCUUGGACUUAGUUGUAUUCAGCUGCUUUUCCAUCGGCAUCAACCCUCAUCGACAACUCUCCUGUAGACUAGUCACCACUCCUCCACCUGCCGAUCCACACCUCAUUAACUCCAGACGCGCGCCCAAAGAUACGUGUCCAAAAAUGGUGUCAACACAUGCCCCCCAAUUUCGGAGUAUAACAUUAUUAAUGCUCUGAAAUUCUCCUCAGUAAUAACGCCUUUUUGCAAUUACUUCUCCCCAAUUUGGUAAUCAAUCACCAAAUCUGAACAACCUUAGCCUGAUCCUUCCACAGGUUCCUCGAACUUCCCAAAUUUUUCGAACCGAAUCUCUCCUGAAUACUCUCAUCGGCAACAUUUCUGUUAGACAAGAUUGCCAAUGAACCGACCAGGAGAUCUCACACAGUAGAAUAUCUCCAUAAAUAUGACCGCUUGAUGUCAAAUCACUUGCACAAUCCCCUGAUUAUCGUGCGAACAGUUACCAUAUCCACCUGAACACCCUCGGAUUUCACGAAUGCGGCAAAGAGAUAAGUCAAAUUUGCCCCUGCCCUCCUUGUCCUAUAAAUACUUCCUUCUCCGGCACUCUUCCUCCAUCAUGUCAUUCUACAGCCUCAUACCCACUUUUCUGGCGGUGGCAUUGCUUGAUAACUUCAAGACCUCUAGCAAGGACUUCCUCCAUCGAUCCUCCGAGUCCUCGAUUCCUUCUUCUCCCCGGGAAGAGAUGGCCAUCAACUUCGUCGUUCAUAAGGUCAACCUACCAUCCUUCUUUUAUACUUUUACUAUACUCCUAUUCAUCUGCAAAUCUAUUUACUGAGUACCUAUUUUUUCUCUCCCUUUUUUUUGUUCUUCCAAUCUUUAAACCUUUUAGGAAUUAGCCGAUAAGAUCGCGAUCCCUACCGAUCAGGCUCACUUCCAUUGUCUCGGUCCAUUGGGAAACCCAGAUCCUACCGAUCUGAUAAACGUAGAGACAAAUAGGAUCCCCUUUAGAGCUAAGAACUUCUCCUUAGAUCUGUGGAAAGAUGCUUUCUGUUCCUGGCCCAGUCCUACCAAGGGAUGGAAAGACUGGUUCCUGAGAGUCAGCCAUUCAAAUGAAGUCCAAUGGGGUGAGCGGAAAUUAGACCAAUGCAUUAGAUUAUCUAUUGCCGAUAUGGAGAGGAACGAUUCGCUGCUAAUAGCUGCCUCAUACUUUUGGUCAGACACACUCAACGCUUUUGUAUUCGGCCACGGCCCUGCUUCACCUACUCUGCCGAUGUACUCAUGCUUACCGGCUUAGACAUAUCAACUGCCGAUAAUAGUCAUCUAUUUGAUAAUAAGCCCAGUUCUAAGGUAGAAACUCGUAGUAUCGGCGGUUGGUCUAGGUACAUUCAAAAGUACCGGAAAACAGGACCUGUCCGGGAAAGAGAACAGGCCAUUUUCUUGAACAUGUGGCUGGAUAAGUUUGUAUUCUAUGGGCGAUCGGCAGCACCAACCUCUGUCUAUCUAUCGGCAGCAGAGAGACUAGCCAAUGGUGGCCGAUUUCCUCUUGGUUGAUACCUGCUCGGUUCUGUUUAUCAUCUUCUCCAUCAGGUAGCUAAGAAACUCCUGCUAGGCCAACCCAUCGGCAACUUAGGGGGACCCUGGUGGUUCAUCAACAUGUGGCUUAGUGUCCACAUGCAUAAGCGCCUUGAAUUCAACCUCUUCGCACAGCGCUUCCCUAGAGAUAUAGCCGAAGAUCAUGAGCUGGAUGAGGAAGAAUCGGCAACUCGCUCCCCUCUGAACUAUGGUGAAGCUGCCAUAGUUUUACCUGGUACUGGUGGCAAUGAGGACCAGGUCAGCCGAUUCUUCUAGACUCUUUAUGAGGGUCUGGCUAAAGAUCAGCGGGCAUGGAUGCCUUAUGAGGAUCCAGAAACUAGAUUCCCGCUCACUUUCCACCCCUUUGAUGAUGCUCUCAGUAAGGACCAUGAUCUGAUGAUGGCAAUUAUCACUCCGAGAGCCAUACCAGUGAACUUCUUUGGUAGCGGGAAAGCCUCCAAUCUGACCUAUGAGUUCUACAACCCAUCGACACUAGCUCGCCAACUAGCCUUUGGACAGCUGCCAAUUGCACUCUGCUAUGCCGAUGUGGUGAAACCAAGGGAGACCAUAACCAGUGGUCUUGAGUGGAUAAAAAAAGCUCAACUCCCACCAAAUGCCGAUACAGACGUUGAUCUAUCGGCUUCGAUCCCAGCUCUCUUCAUUACUCAGGCAUAUAAACAGUGGUGGGAGAAAUAGAAAGAUCACCUGUUCUACAGAUCGGCCCUCACAUACCGCGGCAUGAUCGACCCCAAGUACAAGGUCCCCGAGAACACUGUAAGCCUUUAACCGAUGCUCCAGUCCGUUUAUUACUUUUAUUCCUAUCGGUAACUCAGUUUUUCUCUUUUUUAAACAGAUUGACGAUACACCACCAACUGUCAGUAGGAGCGGAAAGCCGAUCGAACUCAUUCCAUUAGGUCCGAUCUCCCUUAUCAGUAACAACGCACCAACCCUGGCAGCUCUGAUGCAUAGGAACGUGCGUUUCAAGAAGAUUACCACCAGACGAGCAAAGACGUCCCCAUCGGUGGCUGCCACUGCUCUGGCACAAGCUUUCAAGGUAAAUCCCUGAUUUCUUCAAUUUACACCGAUUCCAUUCCAUACUCACAUGACCUUUUCAGGAUACAUCGGCUGCUAUGGGAACCUCAUCGGUAACCUUUACCGUCUCAAUCAAAAUUCUAUCAAUACUCUAUCACAAUUGUGCUUAUGAAACUUUUGUUACUAUAUCAGCAAACUGGCAAAUCGGCAAGGACCAGGACAAGUGCUGAUGCCCAGUCUGGCCAAGUCAAGAGAAAAGGCCCCAAGAGCACCAAGUCACAAGCAAAAUGCUAGAGGACACCAUCGCCUCCUCCUCCUCCUCCAAGGUCGCCGAUUCAUGUGGAAUCGUCUCCUUCUUUGCCAGAAGUUCAGACAUGGCAAGCGCCAUCUCCACCUCAACCACAAGAAGUACCUCGGCCAAAAGAGAUAUCAGCCGAUGUACUUGAGCAGACUCCCGAUCCAGUGGGAUCAAUCAUAUCAUCGGUAGUCUCUUCAAUCCAGACAAGCACUGCACCCCCUCAAGGUAAGGUUCUGUCCAUAAGAUUAUUUGCCGUUGGUUUUUUUCUAACACUCAUUAUUAUUAUAUAAUUUUCAGCUAACAUCAUUCCAUCGGCAACUCCAGCCGAUCAACCUGUGGUACCAUCGGCCUCAGCUAGCCAGAGGCGAGAAAUUGCCCUGAAACAAGUAAGUCACCUGACCUCUAUUUUUAUCAUCACUAGUACUUGAUCAUCAAAUAACUUAUUAUAUUUUCUUUUCUAGGAACAAGACUCUCCAGACAGCUUGUUCUCUUUUGCUAUUGAAAUUUCUGACGAUGAAGGCGAGGAAGCAAGCUCUUCUCAAGCAGUAGGGAUUUCAUUGGCAGAAAUCAGAGCUAAACUGGAGGAUCUAAUGGCCCUGCUUCAUCAGGAUACAGCUCAAUUAGUCGACGACUCUGAUCUAGCAAAAGCUCUAUUCAAAGCUCUCAGAGGUCAGAUCCCUGCCGAUGCCGAAGAGACUCUUUUUCAGGCUGCACACUUAGAGAGCCGCCAGCUUCAGUAUCAAAAGGCUACCCAACGUCUUGCCGAUAGAGCCACUCAUGCCCAGCUCUCGGAGGAGGUAAUGAAAGUGAAGCACCUUGCCGAUGAGAAACACAAGAGGAUCGGCAUUCUAAAAUCCUCAGGAGAGACGCUGAGACAAAAGAUUUCUGACCUAUCGGCAAAAAGGAAAGCCCUGUUGGCAGAGCUUAAGCAAGUAGAAGAGGCUCUGUCCCAUGCUCAACAGGAAGAAAGUCAGCUGCCCGAAAUGAUCAAGACGCUUGAACAAGAGCAAAACAUUCAAGCCCGCAAGGCACUGCAGAUGAAGAAGAAGCUGAGGCCAGUGGAGGGCUCUGAGAUGAAGACAUCAAGGAGAUAGAAGAAGCCGAUCAAAUCCGUCUGUGCACCAUAUCGGCUAUCCAAACCCUGCUGAAUAUAUAAGCUAUUCAUCGGCAGCAUGUCUUGUUCUUUCUUUAGGAAUCGCUCACUAUUUUGGUCUAGCUAAUAGGACUGUUAUCGACAUCCUUUUAAAACGCCAUACUUGGUCCCAGAUACACUUUAAUCCAGCCGAUAGGAAUGUUAUCGGCACUUAAACUCUCAUGCAUCAACCCAUAUGCUUGGGUAAUAUUUCUUCAAAUAUUUUCCAUUUAAUGCUCUGGGAAAUUCAAUUCCUUCGAGAGUUUCCAAAAUAUAAGCAUUACCAGGAGCAGACCAAUUUAUUCUGUAAGGACCUUCCCAAUUAGGAGACCACUUCCCAAAUUUCGAACUUUUAGUCCCAAUUGGUAAGAUUAGUUUCCACACCAAAUCAUCUAACUCAUCUUUCAUCAAAAUAGCGUAGUCAUCGGCAACCACCUGAUCUUGGAAAGAUACUCGCCUAGACCCGGUCUUAAUUUCCCAAGGUAGCACUGCGUCGUGUCCAUACACCAACUGAUAAGGUGAAACUUUAGUCGACCCAUGACACGCCAUCCGAUAUGACCACAAAGCUUCACUCAACAAUGUAUGCCACCUCCUAGGAUUUUCUUCAAUCAUCCGUUUAAUGAGUUUAAUAAUUCCUUUGUUAGACGCUUCGGCCUGCCCAUUGGCUUGAGCAUAAUAAGGAGAAGAGUUCAACACUUUAAUUCCCAUACCGAUUGCAAAUUCAUGAAACUCCCCCGAUGUAAACAUAGUACCCUGAUCGGUAGUAAUUGUUUGAGGAAUACCAAAUCGGUAAAUAAUAUGCUCUUUCACAAAAUCAAUCAUAUUGGCCGAUGUAACUUUCUUUAAAGGAAUAGCUUCAACCCACUUAGUGAAAUAAUCGGUGGCAACUAAGAUGAACUUAUGCCCUUUGCUCGAUGGUGGGUAAAUCUAGCCGAUUAGAUCAAUAGCCCAUCCUCGGAACGGCCAAGGUUUAAUAAUGGGAUUCAUGGCCGAUGCGGGUGCCCUUUGAAUAUUGCCAAAUUUCUAACAUCCUUGACAUCCUUUGAAAUAUUUAAAGCAAUCCUCGAGGAUAGUCGGCCAAUAAUACCCAUUUCUCCUGAUCAUCCAUUUCAUCUUAAAAGCCAACUGAUGUGCUCCACAUACUCCAUCAUGGAUCUCUCCCAUCAAACUUUUAGCUUCAUCAUUACCUAAGCAUUUGAGAAGAACUCCAUCUAUAGUUCGUUAAUAUAGUUCAUCCUCGAGGAGCACAUACUUGGUAGCUUGAAACGUGAUACAUCUCUCAACCUUUUUAGAUGGAUACUUUAAAUAAUCAAUGAUCUCCUUUCUCCAAUCAUCGGCACCGAUUGCCGAUAACGUGUUUAAUAUGGGUUGAUAUCUCGAGGCGUGCUGAGCCAACCGAUUAGCCUCCUCAUUAUGUAACCGAGGAACAUGCUCUAAUCGAAAAUCUUUGAAUUCUUUUAAUAGUUGCAUUCUUUUUUCAUAAUAAGUUAUCAGGACUUUGCUUCGGCAUUCAUAACUUCCAGCCAACUGAUUUAUGACCAGCAUAGAAUCCCUGAAGAUUUCAACAGCAUCAGCAUGAACCUCUUUUAGUAAUUCCAACCCCUUGAUCAAAGCUUGAUACUCAGCUUGAUUAUUCGUUGAUGUGGCAACAAUCGGCAAAGAGAACUCAUACUUCCUUCCCUGAGGGGAAAUUAGUACUAUGCCGAUUCCUGCCCCCCAGUCACAGGUAGAUCCAUGAAAGAAGAGCGUCCAAGGAACAAUUUCCAAAGUCUCCACUACACCGCAAUGUUGAGUCACAAAAUCAGCCAUAACCUGCCCUUUUACUACUUUAGCCGAUUCAUAACGUAGAUCAAACUCCGACAAUGCCAGAAUCCACUUGCCGAUGCUACCACUCAUAAUUGGCAUAGACAACAUCUAUCGGACCACAUCAUUCUUGCAUAUAACAGUGCAUUCGGCCGAUAGCAAAUAGUGCCUCAACUUAAUGCAUGAAAGAUAUAGGCAUAAACAUAAUUUUUCUAUUGCCGAAUACCUGGUCUCAGCAUCAAUCAGUCUUCUACUUAAAUAAUAAAUCACACGCUCCUUCCCUUGAAAUUCUUGAAUUAAAGCUGAACCGAUGACCAGCCCAUCGGUAGACAAAUAUAAUCUGAAGGGCUUUCCUUGUUGAGGUGGAAUUAAAACUGGAGGAUUUGUCAAAUAAUUCUUGAUUUCAUCCAAGGCAACUGUUGCUCUUCUCCCCAUACAAACUCUUGAUCGGCUUUCAAUUUGAGUAAAGAACUCAAAGCACGAAUUUUACCAGACAAAUUAGAUAUAAACCGUCUGAUAAAAUUUACCUUGCCGAUCAAAGACUGGAGUUCAGUUUUGUUGGUAGGAGCAACUAUCUUAUUGAUGGCAUCAAUAGAUCUCCUACUAAUUUCAAUUCCUCUCUGAUGCACCAUGAAACCAAGAAAUUGCCCUGCCGAUACACCAAAUGCACACUUAUUAGGAUUCAUCUUUAAACCAUGUUUCCUUGUGCAUUCCAACACCUUUCGCAAAUCGGCAAGAUGCUUUGUGAAAUCCCCAGACUUAACCACCACAUCAUCAAUGUAAAUUUCUACCAGCUUGCCGAUGAACCCAUGAAGGAUAAAAUUCAUAGCCCUUUGAUAGGUAGCACCAGCAUUUUUCAAGCCAAAGGUCAUGACCAUCCAUUCAAACAGCCUAACAUGACCAGGACAUCUAAAUGCGGUCUUUGGAAUAUCUUAUUCAGCCAUGAAUAUCUGAUUAUAUCCUGCAUUGCCAUCCAUGAAGCUUAUGAUCCGAUGUCCAGCCGUAGCAUCGACAAGCAAAUCGGCAACUGGCAUUGGGUAGCCAUCCAUCGGCGUAGCCUUGUUAAGAUUUCUGAAAUCAAUGCAGACUCGAAGCUUCCCAUUUUUCUUGUAAACUGGGACAACAUUGGAAAUCCACUCGGCAUACCGACACUGCCGAAUAAAUUUAGCUUCAAUAAGUUUAGUUAUUUUGGCCUUAAUAUCAAGAAGAAUAUUAGGAUUACAUCAGCGAGCCGACUGCUGAUGUGGCCGAAAUCCAGAUUUGAUAGGCAACUGAUGUUCAACAAUGGAUCGGUCCAAACCAGGCAUCUCAGUAUAAUCCCAAGCAAAGCAAUCUUUAUAUUCCUUUAACAAAUCGGUUAACUGUUGCUUACACUCAGAAUUUAACUUAGCACUAAUAAAAUUAGGUCUUGGCUUAUCACCAUUACCUAUAUCUACCUCUACUAAAUCAUCGGCCGAUGUAAACCCCUGGCCUAAUUUUCCAUCAUCGGCGAACCUAUCCAUUAAAACUCCUCAUGAGAACCGACUGCUUGGAUCAGUGGAAUUUCAUAAUCGGCAACCUUGAGGAAUUCCUUCUCCCAAAUUUCUCCUGAAAUGCACCUGGUCCUCUCAUAAGUAUUUGCCUCUGCCGAUGCAAUGACAUAUGAAGAAUCUCCUGGGACAAUCUCAAUCUUGUCACCUACCCAGUGAACCAAACACUGGUGCAUUGUAGACGGGAUGCAACAAUUAACAUGGAUCCAAUCUCUUCCCAAUAGAAGAUUAUAAGCACCCUUUCCACUGAUAACGAAGAAAGUUGUCGGCAAGGUUUUGCUGCUGAUGGUCAACUCGACACAAUUGCUCCCUUGACCGGAGACACAUUCCCUUCAAAGUCCUUCAGCAUCAUAUCGGUCUUGGUCAAGUCUUGAUCUCCUCUCCCAAGCUUCCGAUAGACUGCAUACGGCAUGAUAUUGAUAGCAGCCCCACCAUCAACAAGUAUCUUGGUCAUCGGCUGCCCAUCAACCCUUCCUUUGACAAACAGAGCCUUGAGAUGCUGUCUUUCAUUGUCGGCAGGCUUUUCAAAGAUAGCCGUCAUUGGAUCCAGAGCCAACUGAGCUAUUUUGUCAGAAAAAUCCACCUCCUCGAAAUCACUAGACGGUGCAAGGAACUCCAUCGGCAACAUAAACACCAUAUUAACAUCUGCCGAUGGUCCUUUCCCCUUGGGAUCUGGCUGCUGCCGAUCUUCAGACUUAGCAGAAUUCUCUCCUUUGCUCAGCACUUCUCGUCUUUCACGCUGCAGCCUUCUUUUCUGUGUCCUAGUCAGCCCCUCUGGACACCAUGGAGGAAGUUGUGGCUGCCUUACCGAUUGCUGACGAUUUUCCCUUGACUCCACUUGAUAAGUAUUAGCACCAUUACAAAAUAUGAACUCAUCGGGGACUCGUGCAUCCGCCAUUUCUUCAAGUUCCUCUUGGUUCCUGGAAAAGUACCGGACACGGUCACCAAGUCUGUCAUGCACACUGAGCCUGUCCCCCAGCCGAUCAUGAACCGAAGCUCUCCCCCUAAUCGGCCCAUUAAAUCGCCGAUCAUUGUUUUGAUUCUGCCGAUUAGGUCUAUCAUACCGAUCAUAACCAUUGCACUUAGGGCAAUCUCUGACAGUGGGCAAUUUGAUGUUCUGUUCCCAACAAUGGAUAAAGAACGGGCAGUACCAAUGAUCCUUGUGCCGAUUCCACUCCUGUCGGCACCUUUCUUCCUCCCGACGAUAAUCCUCCUGUUGGCGCCGAUACCGAUCUUCACGUUGCUGCCAAGUCUCCCGAUGCCUUCUAUGAGUAAUUACAAUACCAGAUCGAGGAGGCCUUCUCGAGCUAGUUCCUUCCUGAACCAGACCCUUGCCUUUAGCAUCAUCGGUAGUAAUCUGAUGUUGAGGAUCCACCGAUGCACUUCUUUCAGCUGCUCCUGACGUUAAGACCUUGGUUUUUCCCUUAGCAUCCAGCAUGUUUGUCGAGAAAGGAUGUUGAUCGAUCUUCAUCGAGUUCUGAAUUUUGAAACUAUCGAAUUUAAUUCUCCCAGACUCUAUAGCCGACUGCAGCUGUUGCCUGAAAACCUUGCACUCAUUUGUGCUGUGAGACGUUGCAUUGUGCCACUUGCAAUAUUUCAUCUUCUUUAAUUCCUCAGCUGAUGGAAUCACAUGAUUGGGUGACAACUUGAUUUGCCCUUCCCGAAGUAGAAAGUCAAAUAUCCUAUCAGCUUCGGUGAUAUCAAAUGCAAAUUUCUCUGGCUCUUUAUGCCUAAAAGGGCAAGACAUCGGCUUCUUAUUUUUUACCCACUCUGCCAAGCCGAUGACUGGUUCUUCAUCAGAGUCUGAGCUUGCUGCCUCAUCGACAAAUGACACCUUUUUAUUCCAUGCUCUCUUGGGCUCAAAAGGUUUGAUAUCUUGGUCAGAAAUCCUCUGCACCAAAUGACUUAGACUCUCAAACUCUUAAGAAGCAUACUUGUCUCUGAUAUGUGGCAACAAUCCCUGGAAGGCCAAAUCGGCUAGCUGCCGAUCGUCCAGAACUAGACUAUAGCACUUAUUCUUAACCUCUCGCAACCUCUGCACAAAGCUUUCAACCGAUUCAUCAUUGCGUUGCUUCAGCCUGACUAAAUCGGUAAUCUUCUUUGCAUGAACUCCAGAAAAGAAGUAUUUGUGGAAUUGUUUCUCUAGAUUGGCCCAAGUGAUUACUGAAUUAGGGGGUAAUGAAAUAAUCCAAGUAAAGGCCGAUCCAGACAAAGAUGAUGAGAACAAGCGAACCCUCAACUCAUCUUUGUUAGCAACUUCUCCACACUGGAUGAUGAACCUAUUGACAUGCUCCAUAGUUGAUGUAUCAUCCUGUCUAGAAAACAUAGUGAAAUCCGGUACCUUGUACCAAUUUGGAAGUGGAAUUAAGUUGACUUUGGGUUUUAUCCCAAAUUGGUCUCUCAUCACUUCAGCUAUCUUAUCGACCCAAUAAGCAUCAGCAUCUUGCCGAUGAGGUGGUUGUGGAUUUGGCACCUGCUGAUAUGCUUCCACGUGUCUCUGUGGUGCACGAUCUCCAUGGAACAUCGGAUUAACCAUCUGACCACCAAUUUGCUGACUAAGAUUCAUUGGCUGGUUGAUCAAUCCUUGAUUCUGGAACCCAGGUUCGACUGGUCCUUGUUGAAACCCUACGGCCUGAUGAUUCUGCUGAGGCAUCUAUGGAAAGACAAACUGCCCUGUCCAUCCACUGUUAGCAUUCAUCGGCAUAGGACCUGCCGAUGACUGGUAAUUAGGCAUCAUCAUCGAAUUGACAUACCCUGGCUGUGUCAUAAACCUUUGCUGCGUCGGCAUUGGGUCUGCCGAUGCAUUAGGCAUCUGGAACGUCGGCGUCUGAGAAUUCCCAGUGUAAGGUCUUGCAGUAGUAGUUGUAGAGUACUAGGGAUUCUGAUUCAUCGGCGGAUUUGGAGGUGCCGAUGCCAUAGGAGCCUUGCUUGUCACGUUAGCCACUUGAGAUGUUCCAGGACUUUUUGCCAUCAAAUAUAGGGGCAUACCAUAACCCCACCAGUUGGGAGGGACAGACCCUGACAUUGUCGAUGCCAAUAGAUCUGUGGCAAGCUUGAUUUGCCCAUCUGAUGCUGAUGGAUUGGUUGUCAUUGGUGUAGAUUGCGCAUUAGUGAUCCCUAAUGUGCUUGGAGGAGAAGUAGCUUCGGUACCCGCAACGGCUGUAGUAGCCGAUGGAGCUGUGACCAAUGAUGACCCUGGCUGAUGAUAGGCAAGACCCACAUAAGGUUGUUGUACUUGUCCUUCUUUGAAAGUUCUAGCCGCAGCAUUGAAAACCGUGUUGGAUAGCACACCAGCUUGAUUGAUCAAGGCACGGUUAAUAGCACUGACAACCAUGUCUUGAAGUUUACUAGGAUUGGCUUCAAAAGUAAUUUGCCGAAGCAUCGGCAAUGCUUCCUUCUAGAUCACCUCGCCACUCCUAUUGAUACUGAAGGAUUUCAAGCAUAGCUGCUUGUAGUCCUCCAUGGCUUUUGCCAUAGCUUGCUUCUGCUCAUCCCUGAGAUUGGCUUCCAUCACGGGGAUAAUGUUCUCCAAGUCAAAAUCAGUGUUCGACAUGUUGAUCUUGAUCUUGAAUCUUGUCCCACCGGGCGUGCCAAAAGAUGUGUUGGUGCAAAAGCUGAUCUGCAAACACAAAGGGCUAAUACCCGAUCUAAUCGUUAAGGCGUGCCAGCCGAUUUGACCUUACAAUCGACAAAGGUGGUAACUCGAACACUUUGGUCCUAACAACAGCGAUGCGCCCGGAUGUCACGGCCAGGAGGUGCUCACGCGGAACUUGAGAACGCGCCGAGUUUGACUCGACGAAUUCCUAAGAACUCGUAGUAAAAGGAAAAAUAUGACAAAGUCGUCGAAAAAGUAGAUGCUGCAACAUGAGUAAAAACUUGUGUUUGAUUGAUUGAUAGAUGUCUCAGUACAUUGCCCUAGGGUCUACAUUUAUACCCUGUCCAAAGAGCUACAACCAGACACGACUAGGACUCGAAUUCCAAAUUAAAUGGAACCCGUAUAUAAAACGAACUCUAAUAACUAUCCUCUACGAUCAAUCGGUACCCCAUCCUGAGUCAAUCGACAACCCCUGCGCUUUUCUUCUGAGUCAUCGGCAACCAUCAGCAUUGGCCAUCGGUAUGAACGUAUCACCACUCUUGGACUUAGUUGUAUUCGGCAUCAACCCUCAUCGGCAACUCUCCUGUAGACUAGUCACCACUCCUCCACCUGCCGAUCUACACCUCAUUAUCUCCAGACGCGUGCCCAAAGAUACGUGUCCAAAAACGGUGUCAACAGAUUCCCAACGAAAAUAGGUUGAAAUAGGCAAAGUUUGCUUGCUGUCCUGGAAAAUCCAGAGAGCAAGCACUUCGCAGCAGCUUCUUGUAACAAUCACAACUCUUAAACUACUCAUCCAAAUGUCAUGAAAUUUGGGCACAAGGUAGAUAAGUAAGUUAGCUACAAGUUUGUUAAAGACAAGUUUGACAUAUAACUUCAUCUUCAAGCUGUUCUUAAACAAUUGCUAUCAGCUACCCAGGAUAUGCUCUAGGAGAGACAUAAUUAGUUAAAUAAUAUUUUAACACAUAUUAAGAAUGUAACAUUGGCUCAAACCAAAUGCACCAGUAGAUGGAACAUGUCUAAGAAACACCAUAAAACAUCAUGGAAAGGUUUAAACUCAUAUCUAGCAUCACCUUUUCCAUUUAUUUAAUUAUUAAGAUGAUUUAAUGAGCAUAUAUCACAAGUGCUCUAAAAAUUCUAAUAGAAUUACAGCAUGCUAUCUAUGCUACCGCAAGAUUAGUGUAAAAUUUUCAGAGCUCUUGCACAUGUGGAUUGUGAGAUACAAAAAUAACAAGCUAACAAUGGCAUCAAAGGUAUAAAUGUGAAACCCUAUCAAAAAGUGUCAAACAACAGAUUUCAGAUUUUUCUUAGCUUGGUUUACAAAUGAUUGCAUCACUCAGUGAGUUUCAUCAUAAAAGGAGUUAUAAUCUAUUUACUAAAAAUACCACAAGAAACUCCUAUUUAAACAAGAAAUAUUUAUAACUUCACUAACAGACAUCCAAAAAUCAUGAUAAAUUUAUCCGAGCCUAUUCAUGUCAUAAGUAACAAUAUUUUAAAUUUGCAUGGCCAGAAGACUCACAGAUCUCAAGAUAUAAUUACCUCCUAUUUAAACUAGAUUAAAUCAUAUCUAUUUAUUUCUGCAAAAACAUGGCAUGUUUUAUAUUUUUCAUAAAAACUAGACUAACACAAGAAUCUAGCAAAAUUGGAAUCACUCCAUUUGGAUCUGUAUAACUCAAGUUAUGAAUUUUUUAAAACCAACACAGGAUCUGCUAAACAGUGGACCAGAGGCGAGAGAGAGAGAGAGAGGCUGACAGGGGGACCCACUGGUCAGCGGGACCCACUCGACAGUGACACAGCGACAGCGGAGAGCUCGUCGCCGGCGAAACUCGACGACGGCGAGGUCUCGGUCGAAUCCAAGGGCACCAUCGUGACCCUUUCACAAAGGCGGACCCGCCGAGGUGCGAAACCCUAACUCUACCGAGCUCUAGGGGGCUCACCGGCGUGAAUGGCGGCUCAGCGGCGCUGCGGGCGGUACGGCGGCGUGCUCAGCCGAUGCCGUCCCAGUUGAGGUUCACGCCGAGCAUCAGUGAGUCAAGGGGAAGCUCUAGGAACAAAAAUGGAGAGAAAUGGUGGAGCAGGGAGGCCUGGCCACGUCGCCGGUGACCUCUGCGAACUCCGGCGAGGUGGAGCUCGCGACGGAGUUGACAAUGCGGCCUCACCAGUGCUCGGCUAAGGGAAAGAGAUGGAUGUCGAGGUAGAGGACAUCGAGGCGGAGCUCUGGGCGGGCUGGCUUGGCCGGAGACGCGGUGGAGCGGCCGGAAGAGCUCGCCGAAACGCGGUGGAGCUCGCCGAUGCAAUGGCGGAGCGAAAUAUGGAGCGCUGGAGGAGGGAAUGGCGCGUCUGAGGCGUCCAUCCGGUGCGUGGCGACUUGUGGACAACGUUGGGGCUGACAAGAUUGGCCGUCGAUGGCAUACGACCGAUAGGUGGCUGGACACGCGGCGGCGGGUGAGCUCUGUCCAAACUGAAUCGGGCGAUUCAGUCGCCAUGGCCAGUGUCUGAAGCUCGAUCUUCGCCAAUGUUUUACUCGCGAUUCACUCGAUGGUUUUGGCUUAGAUUUGUUCCAUUGGGUAGAGCUACACGAGAUCUACAAGUUUGUUUACAGGAUCAAAGUCUAACUCGGCCUGGAUUUCAAUCUACAAAGCUCCCAAGUACCCUACCUCGAAACUGUGUCGAUUCUGACUUAGGCAAAUUUGGCUAAGUGUGGAAACAGCCCUGAUUUUUGCCUUGUGAGCUAAUUUUGAAUGUGUUACAAGCAUUUUCGUAAAAAGUCAUCAACACAGAUUUUGUAGCUUAUGAAAUUUACUACAACUUUGUUUUAGAUGUCAUUUACAUGCAAGGUUUCUAACACCAGUUUCAUAAAACAUCUUUGAAAAGAGGUUUAGGGGGUUAAUUAGGUCAACCUAGGGUUAACCAUGACUUAGGGGCAUUUUUGGGCAAAACUUUCAACAUAAGCUUUAUUCAAAAAGUUAUUAUAAACAUGAUUAAAGUAUUUUGGAAGACAAUGUGCACUUAUAUGCAUUGGUCACCCAUUACUAACACACAUAGCAAGUCAUACAAGCAAUUUAAUCACAUAAUGUAUAGACCAAAUGACAUGUGAUCGUGGUAUGAUGCUCGUGAGUGAUCAUGAUGAUGCUUAUGUUGAUGCAAUGCUCAUGGUUAACAUGCAACCUAACACUAGAAGUGUUACAGCCCUCCCCCCUUACAAAAAUCUCGUCCCGAGAUUUGAAGGACGUACUAUUUUUCAUAGAAUGAGGGGUAAGUUACUUGUAAAUAGUCUUUCCUUUCCCAAGUGGCAUCUCUUUCUCUUUGACGGUUCCACAAGACCCUAAAACGUUUAAUCACUUUUCCCCGAGUAACUCUUUCCUUGACAUCAAGAACUUGCAUAGGCUUCGCUUCAAAAGAUAGAUCUGAUUGUAAUUUAAGACCUCCUGUUUUAACUCUUUCUUCGGGCACACGGAGGCACUUCUUGAGUUGAGACACACGAAAUACGGGGAAAAUAGCUCUCAUUUCCGGAGGUAGUUGUACCUUGUAAGCCACUUUGCCGCUUUUCUCAAUGAUUUGGUAGGGACCCACAUAUCUAGGAGCGAGUUUCCUUUUUACGCCGAAGCGAUUUACUCCUUUCAUGGGUGAUACCUUCAGGUACACAAAGUCACCUACUUGGGCAGCAUAGCUUUUCUGUCUAGCUUGGGCAGCUUCCAUGUGUUUAUAGAUAAUGAGAACUUGCUUUUCGGCUUCCUUGACAAAGUCAAUUCCGUAGUACCUCCUUUCACCAGGUUCGACCCAGUUUAGAGGAGUUCUACACUUGCGGUCAUACAAAGCUUUGAAAGGAGCCAUUCGAAUACUCUCUUGAUAGCUAUUAUUGUAAGAGAAUUCAACUAAGGGUAGCCACUUCUCCCAUGCACCCUUGGAAGAGAUGACACAUGCCCUCAACAUAUCCUCUAAGAUCUGAUUCACCUGCUCUGUCUGACCGGAGGUUUGAGGAUGGUAGGCUGAAUUGCGAACCAAUUUUGUACCAAGGAGCGAAUGCAAAUGCUCCCAAAAGCGGGCAGUGUACUGAGGACCUCUAUCAGAAAUAAUGGUGCGGGGCACUUCAUGCAACUUAACAAUGUGAGAGAAGUACAACUCAGCAUAGUCGGAUGGUCAGUAGGUAGAAUGUACGGGAAUAAAAUGAGCUGACUUGGUCAAGCGGUCAACAAUAACCCAAAUAGAGUUGUGUCCCUUUUGAGUAGGGGGAAGUCCAACAAUGAAAUCCAUGCUGAUUUCUUCCCACUUCCAACCUGGGAUCGACAAAGGUUGCAAUGAACCUGCAGGCUUAAGGUGAACUGCCUUUACCCUGCACCAAGUGUCACACCUAGCAACAUGAGCUGCUAUCUCUUUCUCCACCAGAAAUGAGGUUUCAAGUCUUGAUACAUUUUGCUACUACCAGAAUGAAUGGACAACUUGGAAGAAUGAGCUUUAUCUAAGAUUUUGUUGCGUAGGUCACGGUCUUUAGGUACAACUAGUCGAUCAUCAAACCACAAUACACCUUUCUCAUCUACCCUGAAAUGCUUGGUGUCUUGCUCUUUCAUCUUUCUUUUGAUAUGAAAGAUACCAGGGUCAGUCUUUUGAAGCUCUACAAUUUGACUCUCUAACGAACAACUAACUACAAUGUUGUGCAGGACCACAUGAUGCAAUAAAUUGAAUCCUUCCUCCAGGAGAGGUCUAACAUGUUGUUUCUGGCUAAGAGCGUCGGCUACAACAUUGGCCUUGCCUAGAUGAUAGUGUACUUCCAGAUUAUAGUCCUUUAUCAACUCCAACCAUCUUCUUUGUCUCAUGUUUAGCUCAGGCUAAGUGAAGAUAUAUUUGAGGCUCUUAUGGUCGGCAUAAAUAUGACACAUAUUACCCAACAGAUAAUGUCUCUAGAGUUUCAAUGCGUGUACAACUGCUGCUAACUCUAGAUCAUGAGUCGGGUAGUUAGCCUCAUGCUUCCUCAGCUGCCGAGAGGCAUAGGUAAUGACUCGGCCUUCUUGCAUAAGUACACAAGCUAGGCCAGUACCAGAUGCAUCAAAAAAGACAUCAAAUGGCUUUUCAAUGUCAGGUUGUGCCAAAAUAGGGGCGGUGGUCAGCAAAUGGCAUAAAGCGGUGAAAGCGACUUCACACUCUUGAGACCACACAAAUUUCACAUCCUUUUGCAGUAACUUGGUCAUAGGCUUGACUAUCUUGGAGAAGUCUGGAAUAAAUCAACGAUAAUAUCCAGCUAGACCGAGAAAACUCCGAACCUCAUGCACUGAAGUCGAGGCCUUCUAGUUUAGAAACUCCUGCACCUUUGACGGGUCAACAGAAAUACUGUCUUCAGAUAAAAUAUGGCCUAAGAAAGGCACUUUCUUCAGCCAAAACUGACACUUGCUGAACUUGGCAUAGAGCUGAUGUUCUCUCAAUCUAGUGAAUACAAUCCGAAGGUGCUUCUCAUGGUCUUGGGCAUUUUCAGAAUACACCAAUAUGUCAUCGAUGAAUACUACCACAAACUCAUCCAGUUCAGGCAUGAACACCGAAUUCAUCAGGUACAUGAAAUGAGCAGGGGCAUUAGUCAGACCAAAGGACAUGACUAGAUACUCAUACAACCCAUACCUAGUCGAGAAAGCCAUUUUGGGGAUGUCUUCGGGUUGAAUCUUGAUUUGAUGAUACCCGGAUCUCAGAUCAAUCUUUAAGAACACCUUAGCCUUGGCUAAUUUAUCAAAUAGAAUAUCAAUGCGAGGCAAAGGAUACUUGUUUUUGAUAGACACGGCAUUCAGCAGACGAUAGUCUACACAUAUAUGUAGAGACUUGUCCUUGUUCUUGACAAAGAGAGCCGGACAACCCCAUGGAGAAGAACUAGGCCGAAUAAGACAUUUCUCCAGGAGUUCUUGCAACUGCUUCUUCAACUCGGCUAAUUCAUUGGGAGGCAUUCGAUAUGGCCUUCUAGAGAUGGGUGCGGUACCCAGAAUUAGAUCAAUUUUAAACUCUAUAUCUCUGUCUGUUGGCAACCUAGGCAGAUCCUCUGGAAAGACAUCCGGAAACUCACACACUACAGGAAUCUCUAACACAGUGAGUGGUCUGAUAGCGUUUGCAGCGUGACAAAUGUCAUCAUUUUUGGGAAGUUGGACUAAGAAAGCUUCUUUACUAUCUGGCUCCCUCAACAUGACUACCCUCGUUGAGGUAUCUGUUGGGUAUUCUUAACGUCAUUACCAAAAGUAGACUUUGUUUUCUAAUUCUGAUAACAGCGCCAAAAAUGCCAAACCUAUCCCUCAUACACUUAAGUCAAGUUGUCAUCCCCAGCAUGACAUGAGAGACGCGGUAUUGAAAUAUGCAAUUGCUCAUAUAAAUAAAUAACAAAUGGGAUCUACAAGUGCACAGAUUAAUACCGAUGUAGCAUUCUAACCCGGAAGUAUUCCAGGUAUCGUUAUUUAUAUUUUUACCACUGGGAAGGGAUUAGUAACCAUCAAUGUUGAUUAUAAAAUGCAAUAUAAGAUCGAGUAUCUAUCAUUGCAUAUAUAAUUGAGAACAUUUAUCUAUCUCUUUCAUACAAGGAUAAGUGUCACAUAAAAGAUAUAUGAAGUAAUGAAUAGUGACAAAGAUAAUUAAUAUGAUCAGCAUAACUUAGCCACAUAAUAAAUAUGAUAAGCACCUCAAUUAGAUAUUCUAGCAAGUCAUUAGCAUGGAAUUAGAACGAACUACAAGAAUAUUUCCUAAGUUAUUCUUAACUAUACAGUCUAGCAUUAUCAUAGUUAGUGCAAGCAUACUUAGCAAUCAUUGCGAAAAAGGACUAUGCCCAUGCAUAGUGAUAUUAGCAAGGAAUAUGAGAAACAUCGUAAUCACUCCCCUGUAAUAAUGUUGCUCUGCCAGCCCAAUACAUGAGAGGGGGACUAUAUAAGAAUCAAUGAAGUUGUCACUAUCACGAACUACCCCGCGAUCUGGCAUAUUGGGUACAAUCGCAGAUAAAUACGGUAUAAGCACCACGCCUACACAAUAUCUAUCAUUUACCCAUGGAUCCAAUGGAUAAACGCUAUACAAUCCAAAACAUGUAUAUAAUUCCAAUCUAACUAAGCCAAGUAUAUAACCAUGAUAAACUAAGAACAAUAUAAUCUUGAAUAUAAACAAGUAGAGCAAAGUCAUAAGCAAUAUAAUGAAGUAGAACAAAGUCAUAUUCAUAAUAUUGAAAAACAAAGAUGAAUAAUUAGAAGAACAAGAGAGAAUUACCAAGAAUCCUCUUGACAGAUCCGGAAACCAAUCGAAGAUUGACUCCUUCUAGUUCUAAUCCUAUGUAGCUAUGCUAAUCUAGAUGUCUAAUUGAUGUGGUGGCUCUAGGCUUGAUCAGAGGCUUCUUCUCCCUUGAGGAAUAAUGAAUUAGGGUUGAGAGGCUCUCUCCUCCAGGGGCCAGGGGGUCUGGUUUUAUAGUCCUUCCAAGUGAAUAUGGGCCGUCGGAUGAAACCGACAUUGAUUGAACGGUUAUCCUUGAUCCUUUAGGUCGGUGGAGCUUAAUCCCGAAAGAGAGUUCUGAUUGGACUCUAAAGGGGGGCGGGCGCCCUAGUCCUCAGGGCGGGCGCCCUGGGCCAGGCCCCGUUCGGCCUCCGCUUCAUUCUCGUGGCUUCUGGUGUCUUCUAGAUGUAAGAUAAUUGCGCGGCACGUUAAUAUCUCUAUGUAAUCCCGACGUGUGGGCCUUUCUUCCGUAUUUCCUGAUAACACCCUGCAGAAAUAGACAAACAUCAAAACUCUUGGAAUUCUAUCAGAUAAAACCCUAAGUCUGGAUGUAGAUUUCAUUUGUAUCCUUUUCUUUGUUUAUUUGAUAAUUAAAUUUGAUACUUAAGGACCGUCAACAGUAUAUAUCAACACCCCAUGCUUACUCAUCCAAUUCAUUCCCAAAAUAACAUCUAUUCCCAAGCCUAGCAAGAUUACUAGAUCUGCUGAAUAAUUACGCCCUUCAAUGGCAAUAUGUACAUCCCUCACUAAUUGAUUUGUAGCGAUUUGAUUACUAGCAGCACUAAUGCAAAAUUUUCCAUUGUCUAGAUUGUUGGUAUUUGGUAACGCUAUCAGAAAAUGAUCCGCAAGCGCACAGAUAUCGGUGAGCACUUCACCCGAGAGGUUAUCCAGAGUAUCGUAUUUAUAUUUUUAGCACUGGGAGAAAGCGUGCAUCUGACUAACCAAAUCUAUUUCUACUACCCUUUAGGCUACAAAGAAUGUGACUCGAUGAGCGAUGUAUAGAGAAGACUACGACCGUAGUCUCGUUCUAACCUUGGUAAGGAUGAUCUACUGUUCUAUUGGGGAAGCUUACAGAAUCUAGACACCACAAAGGAUGUUCGACCCGCACCUAUAAACCCUACCCAUCCUUCUAACGAGAUGUGGGAUGCAAAGGUAACUCGUAAAUGUCACGUUCCUCGCUACUACCACGGUCCAGCUAGUCAGGGGAUAUCUAUGAGUACCCUAGCCCAAACACCACAUUUACGCUAGCAAUGAUUACUCUAAACUCAACCAGAAGAGAUUAAAGUAAACUCAUAAACCAAAGAACAAUAAAACAAGAACUUACUAGAAUUAGAAGUCGAAUUACUGAAGAAUCCUAGGAGCAAGCCUCGGGUUAGGAGAACUUGAUCCCGCACGUACAACCUCAGAGUAGACACCGACAGGUCGGGCUAUAUAGAGGAGAGGUAUUCCUUCGAGGCUCCUCUCAAUUGUAAGAUGAACUUGUUCUCCUCCAGGGGCCAGGGGGUCAGGUUAUAUAGUCCUUUCAAGUGAAUAUGGGCUGUUGGAUCAAACUGACAUUGAUUGAACGGUUAUCCUUGAUCCUUUAGGUCGGUGGAGUGUAAUCCCCGAAGAGAGUCCUGAUUGGACUCUAGGACAGGGCGGGCGCCCUAGGAGGGAGGGCGGGCGCCCUGCCCCCAGGCCCGUUCGCCUUCCCGUUCGUUCCCGUGGCUUCUGGAGUCUUCUAGAUGAUAGAAAAUUGUGCGGCACGUUAAUAUCUCUAUGUAAACCCGACGUGUGGGCCUUUCUUCCAUAUUUACUGAUAACCAUCUGCAGAAAUAGACAAACACCAAAACUCGUGGAAUUCUGUCAGAUAAAACCCUAAGUUUGGGUGUUGGUUGCAUUUGGAUCCUUUUCUUCAUUUAUUUGAUGAUUAUAUUUGGUACUUAAGGACCGUCAACAACUCCCCCAAUCUUACCUCUUGCUCGUCCCUGAGCAAGGUUGAACUCAAGAGUUUCUGCAGUGGUUUCAUGCCAUAAAAGUAAGAUCUCAUCUCUGAGUUAGAUUAAACUGUUAAGACUUAAAACUUACUCAUUUUACCUUUCACCAUGGUGCUUGUAACCGUCACUUGUAUCUUGAGCGGUUAAAAGAUAGAACGGUCAUGUUAAGCGCCAUGUCUCUUAUUCUUGAUCAGCUAUAGCUCUGGAGUUUUUGCAGAUUUUCAAAUAAAACUCAGAGAUUCCUUGUGUGACUCUCUCUAGUCUCUCUUUUGUGGUAUUUCUGGAACCUUACCAAGGCAGUGAUGGUAUAUGCCUUCUCUCAAAGUAUGUGGUAUUUUUGGUAUGAGGCAUAGUGAUAUUGCCUUCUCUCUCAUCCUACUCUAAUAAGGUUUUGAUAUCUGGAGCUCAUAGGUGGGAGACAGCUAAUACAUACUUACAAGACAUUUAUUGCAUAAUCAAACCAUGGAUCCAGAAGAACAAGUCAAUAAGUCAAAUCAAGAUGUGCAUGUGUGGCGAGUGAAUGAUGUAUGGUGAUGAUGGUGAUAACAAUGGUGAAAGUCUAAUUCUACUUUUGCUCUUUUGAGGGG
rnacentral:lncRNA from 1 species